GAGUUUAUAAAGCAGCUUUCCUCCAGUACUCUCUAAUGGCAAGAUUGGCAGCCUAAUAUAAUGUUCUAUUGUCAAUAAUAAUGCAAUGAUCCAUUGCGCUUGUGUCUAUUUGCGUAGCAACAUGAACCCUGAUGGGCCUUGGACCUUGGCAUAGCUGGGAAGAAACUUUAGCAGUGACCGACUGCCUAAAAAAUUUCCCAUAUCAUUUUCCUUACUUUAAAUCCUCCCAUAGUAAUAAAAGAUCAAAGUCACGAGGGUUUGAUGAUUUGAAAUGCUUUCCUCUUACUUAACUUUGCUUGAAUUAUAUAUCAGAUAUUCAUAGAUUUGACUUUACUCAAUUAUGUUCGAGAUUGGGCUCAAAAUCAAGAACCAAAGGUAACAUAUAGGUCUACUUCAACAUGAACUGUGUGUCGGUCUAUUAAAAGAGAAGAUAGUGUCUAACUUUAUUUAAAUCUUAAUAUUAACAACAUUUCCUUAUUUCUAUUGAAAGUAAGAAAGAACAUUUCAUUAUUCAAGCUAAAUCCAUCAAAGAAGAAAGUCAGAUCUUAUUUUGACGUUGUUGGUGAGUUUGUUUAAACAUUUCAGGUCCAAGUAUUAUUGGGCCUGGACUCUUCUUCUCCUUUUUAUUUAUUUCUUUUACAGAUAUUUUGCUAGAACUUAUUUAAAAACCAGGCAGGCCGAAUGGAAGUCGUGGGCCUAGCUAGGGGUCGUUCCAAUCAUAUAGUGAGAGAUAAAGGUCAGAAUAUUAUGAUGGGUUAGGCCCAUUCAGUUAGAGAUGAAUUGCCUAAUUUGCGAAGCAGAAGUCCAAAAAGCAGUUGGUCAAAUGCUUCGAGGAAGCAAGUCAUGAACAUUUUGGCAGCAUUAUCAAGCACCAUUCACCAAUACCACACCGUUGUAAAUGCUGCAUGUCAAAUGGUCUAUAGUCUCAACUAUUUAAAUUGCAACAUUUAGAGAAUCAUUCAUCAAAAUUUCAUCGGUUGACUUGAUUAUCCAUAAAUUAAAAGUUACCCCGCAAUAUAUAUCCAUUCGUGAUAACGUUAGAUAUAUGGAUACGGCAAAGUUCAUGUGGUUAGGCUUGAUCCAUCAACAGUUCACUGACUUUAAAGAUUUGUACAACAUAUGUAUCAAAUUCACAUGAAUUGAUACUCGAAGUCAAUCACAACUCAUAUCAUGCCAAUAAAUCCAUAAUUUUAGCAAAUUGAAAGGUGGCAACUUUCCUCCUUUGAUAAAUCCUCCUUUGUGUUGCCCACUUCACCGAGUACGAAACACGCGCAUGAUAAAUUGACAAAAACUUCACCAGAAACACGUCCGCUAUCAAAACUCACAAGAAAUUAAAAGAACGAGAGCUUCCUUUCUUUCUUUAUUGUCUCCCCCAGUCUUUGCAUAACAUCCUUACCGUUUCAUUCCUUAUAUAUUUUUCGAGCAUACAAAUGCCGUGAUUAAUCUAUGUGGGAAUAACGGAUCUCCGAAAAGUCAGAUUCGACAUUAAAUCGAACCCUAAAUCGAAUGCGGAAGAUGAAGCCCGGGAAAAUCACGUAUCACCGAUCCUAAAGCACACUACGGAUUCGAGCGUACCUUGUUAGCCACAGAUUAAACACCAAUGCUGAAGAUUGAGGAAGAGAAACCGAUCCUGUUCGAUCCGAUGACGUCAAUUGGCCUUAAAGGGAAGACAGCGUCGCCUCUUUUGCUUACUGUUCUUUUUUUUUUAGAGAGAGAGAGCGUUUGAAAGAGAGGGAGACGUACGUAAUGUCAAAAAGGUGCGUUCUCCCUCUCUCUCCUCCCUUUUAUACGACCCUCCAUCCACGGACCCUAUUUCUGUGGGCCGGGCUUUUAGGCCCAACAUGGGCGGACGGGCCAACUUAGGCCCAUGCUCAUCACAUAAAACCAUCAUCUCCCACUCGCACAUGGUGGGCCGAACAAAAUUCUCUUUUACCUCUCUUCAACAUUCAUACCGGUGAAUAAUCCGUGCGACCAGCAUACAUUGAGAGCUCGCUGUCAUAUAUCUGUUAGGAAUAUAUAGCAGCUCAUAAUGGGCAUCACAUCCUGAGUAGAUUUAGUAUACAGUACCCUAGAUCGAUUGAUCACAUUUAUAUCUCUCUUGAUCUCUUUUAAACAAUUAUAUAUAUAUAUAUAUAUAUAUAUAUUGUAUUCACAAUUAUGAUUAUCCCAAAGACAGUCAUAAUUGGUUAACCAGUGAAUACAAAAACUACAAUGUGAUUCUCCAAAUUCGAUCUUCCUCUUUCCUUCAAACUAUUAAUUUCAGUUCAGCUUGCUUUUCUAGAAAUGUCCCAUUAGAUCGAAUCAAACUCAUGACCAUUGGCAACAUCCUAAGAUAGCAAACACUAAAUAUAAAUCAUCUGACUUUCCAUGUACAUAAAAAUUGAGAUCAAACUUUUGCCACUCUUAUUGGUCGUCUCAUGCAUACGUAAUAUAAAAUACGUAUUACGGUAAUAACUCAUUUCCCAUGGAGUGUAUGUCUACACCUUUAAUACCGUACAGAUGAUAGUUCAGACAUACCAAAUGUCUAACUUGAAUUCACGUAUCUACUCAUUCACAAAAUUCAUCAGAACUCACAUCUGGCAUCAUAGACAAAUAAAGUAAAAUAUGUGGGGUAUUUUACUUUCGGACAUAGUAAGUAUUAUGUCCUCAUCUUAACACCCAGUUAAGGCGACAUACAUAUUUUAAGCUUGAGCUCUCGAUUAUCACCUAGAUAAUAAGCUUAAAAACAGUCUCAUCUCUAUUUAUCGCACAGUAAAUAGAGGCGAUUAUCCGUGUGAGUGGGCUAAUCUUAUAUCUGUCCGACAUACUUUCUCAACUUAAAAUAAUGCACUAAGCAUUAAGAUGCAUAAAGAUCAAACAAAGAUUCAUAUGCAUUAAUGAUGAAAAACACAAAUUCAUCAGAUGUGAACACUUCAAAGAAAUUACAAUUCAGUACAUCAGACUCUACGCAAUCCUAGAGAUUUUAUAUGGCCACAAAACACAUCUCUAGGUUUUGGCUUUGUCAUAGGAUCUGCUACCAUUCUAUGCGUAACAUGUACUGUAAGUUCACAUCUUUUUAUGCAAUCAUAUUCUUGACAAAAUUAUACUUGAUAUCUAUAUGUUUGGUCUUGCCGUGAUAUUUUGGAUCUUUGGUGUACGCUUUUGCUGCUUGGCUAUCACAGUUAACCAACAAUGAAUCUGCAGCACCUCAAAUAACACAUAAAUGAUCCAAUAAUCUCUUAAGCCAAACAUCUUCUUUUAUUGCUGCUGAUAAUACCACGAACUCAAUUUCCAUCGUGGACAAGGCUAUACACUUUUGUUUCUUACUGCUCCAACAUAUGGUGUCAUUAUUCGGUAAGAAAACAAAUCUAGAGAUAGAUUUUCUUUCAUCUAAAUCUCCUCACCAAUCAGCAUUAGAAUAGCCUUUGAGUUGCAGAUCCUUUCCAUAAUAACUCAGCGUAUAAUCAACAGUUCUCUUUAGAUACCUUAGUAUUCUCUUAACGGCCUUCCAAUGUGCUGGACCUGGAUUGGAUUGGUAUCUACCCACCAUUCCAACUGCAAAACAUAUGUCAAGUCUUGUACACAUUAUAGCAUACAUCAAGCUCCAACAGCACUUGCAUAAGGAACAUGUUUCAUUUGUUCAUUCUCUUGUGGAGUCCUUAGACAUAGUCUAUGGCUCAAUCCUUUACCUUUUGCAAUAGGAGUGCCUAUGGGCUUACAAUCCCAUAUUAUUCAUCUCAAAGUUGGAAGACAACCAACUUUUGACAGUAUUGAUAAGCUCCAUAUUGCUUCCGGCAAUUAGUAUAUCAUCAACAUAUAAUGAUAUAAUCACAAGUUGAUCUUUGGAUCUUUUGAUAUAUACACAAUGAUCCUCAUCAAUCAUUGUAAAAUCAUAUGCCAUUAUGGUAUUAUGAAAUCGUAUAUACCAUUGUCUUGACAACUGCUUAAGGCCAUAUAUCGAUAUCAAAAGUCGACAUACCUUUUCUUCUUGGCUUUUCACUAUGAAACCAGCAUAUUGUUCCAUAUAUGUUCCUUUCUCUAAUUCUCCAUUGAGGAAAGCAGUCUUUACAUCCAUUUGAUGUAACUCAAGAUCCAUACUAACCACUAUUGCCAGAAUUAUGCGAAUCAAGGUAAAUCUCACUACAGGAGAAAAUGUUUCUUCAUAAUCAAUUCAUUCAUGUUGAUUAUACCCCUUCGCCACAAGGCAAGCCUUAUGCCUUUCUAUCGAGCCAUCAACUUUACGCUUUAUUUUGAGAACCCACUUGUUCCCAAUAGCUUUGCGUCCUAUUGGAAGAUCAACCAGUUCCAAACUUGGUUUGACUUCAUUGACUCCAUCUCCUCUUCCAUUGCAUAAAUCCAUUUUUCCUUACUAGAGCAAUUCAGGGCCUCAUUAAUAUUUCUUGGCUCAUCCUCAUCUUGCGGAGCAAUCAUAAAAGUUUCCCAUUCAAUGUCAAAACGUCGACGGGGAAUACUUUGGCGACUUGUUCGCUGUAUGGGAGAUUGUACACUUUUCACAUCAUUCCCCAUUAUGCUCCCACUUGGAUUAGAUAAUGAUAACGUUGUCUCAUCAUGUGGUUACAAUUGAGAAUGAGUUGAAUUCAAUUCAUCACUUCUCAUAUUACUCCCACUUGGACGAACUCCACUAAUAUCAUUAUCUUGAUCCAAGGUUUCAAAUAGCGGGUAAUCUUUCCCUAUUUCGCCCUUCUUAGGAAAUUCAUCCUCUAAGAAUGUGACAUCCCGUGAUUAAAAUUCAGUUAUACUCUCACUUUCCUGCUCACCUAUGAACACAUACCAUUUCGAGUGUUCGGAGUAUCUCAUUAAAAUACUAUAUUUUCCUUUAGGACCCAAUUUCCCAAACUUGUGAGAGGACUCAUGAGUAUAGGCAGCACAACCUCAUGGCUUAAGAAAACUUAAGUCCAGUUUUGUACCUGUCCAUAACUCAUAUGGAGUGGAACUAACUAAUUUGGAAGGCACCCGAUUAAGUAUAUAAGCAGCAGUAAAUAACGUAUCACUCCAAAAAAAGAUAUGUAAGUUAGCAUGCGCCAUCAUGGACCUAACCAUUUCUAGUAGAGUUCUGUUUCUUCUCUCUGCAACACCAUUUUGUUGAGGAGUAUUUGGAAUAGACAACUGUCUUUCUAUUCCUUUUUCACCACAUAAUUUUCUGAACUCAUCAGAUAAAUAUUCUCGACAUCGAUCGGAUCUCAAUGCAUUUAUUUUCUUGUCUAAUUGAUUUUCUACCAAGUUCAUUAAACCUUUUGAAACAACUUAUUACUUCAAAUUUAUGAGAAAUCAAAUAGACAUAUCCGAAUCGAGUAUAAUCGUCUAUAAAAGUGAUGAAAUAAAUAGCCCCAUGCAUUCCUCUCACAUUCAUUGAACCACAGACGUCAUAAUGGAUUAAAUGCAGAGGAAAUUCAGCUCUUUUAUCUUUUCCAAAUGGCUUCCUUAUCAUUUUCCCUACUAGGCAAUGCUCAUAUAUGAGCAAAUCGACUUUUUCAAUGUUGCCCAACAAGCCCUUUUUUGGCUAGUCUUUUCAUACGAUGUUGGCCAAUAUGGCCAACUCUAGCAUGCCACAUAAUCACAUUUAUAUCAUAUGAAGUAGAAGACAUGAAAUAAGGGAAUAAAAAAUAUUGACAUCACUACAGUCAACAUUUAGUACAAUAAAACCAUCUAGAAAAAGACCACAACCAUAGUAGUUUGUAUCCAAAUAUAAAUCUACACCGCUAUUACGGAAGUUCAUACUAAAAACAAGCUUAACCAACACCAAAAACAGACACUUAAAUUUCGACGAAUCUCCGGAGCAUAUAGAACAUCAUGUAGGAAUAAGGUGCGUCAACCACACAUGUUCAAUUGGCAGGUGCCAAUCCCUUUAACUUCAUCUCUGGAGUUAUUUCCUACAUAGAUCCACUUAGUUCCAGUUGGUACUCGUCGGAAUUCCACAAAUGAUCCUCUAUCCUUCGCUACAUCGUCUGUUGCUCCUGAAUCUACAGUCCACAAAGGAUUGUAUUCAGCUAAUAAUGCAGAACUUGACACAAAAACAAAGUUCUCAAAUGUACAAGAGGUGUUUACCUUCUUUGGCUCACGACAGUCGCGAGCAUAGUGACCCUUCUUGUCACAAUUGUAACACCUCAACCUUGACAUUUUCUUCACUUGAGGACGUUUUCCUCUCUUGUGUUGGUUAACACUUGAUCUCUUGCAAUAAGGACUUGAUCCUUUGUAUUCCCACAUAUUGAACGAAUCAAUACGUUUGCGCUUAGAGCUCAAAGCCCUUUCUGAGCUAGAACUAGCAUAGCAAAUAUCUAUUUGCCGUUAAGCAGUCCUCUACCAGCUUAAGGUGGCGUACAACAUCCUCAAGAUCUUCCAUAACAUGGUCAAGAGCUUCUAAUGCUUCUUGCUUUUCCAGCACAUAUUGAAUCUUCAUAUUCAAUAUUUCACAAUUGUUGCCGUUCAUAUCAGCAAUUACGUUCUUAGUUGCUGAAACCAUCAAUCUGAACACAUCAGACAUAUAUGCACGAAUAAUUAAUGCCUAUCAUUUAUGUAUCCACUUUGCACAGACCCGUCAUAUCAAUGAAUAAUUUCAAGUAAAGUUUCAGAAUCAAAAGGUCACUAUGUUUCCAAUUAUCCUCCAAAAAUCCUAACUUAAAACUAUCAUUAAUAUAAUUGUCUUAUGCAAAAUAAAUUCUAUGAAGUUACAAAAACUUCUAUAACUACCCACAGCUAACUACCCACAGCAACCAGCAAUAACAGAAAGUAACAGAUAAUUGACAUCCAAUAAAAUAAUAAUGUUUUCAACUAAUACAACAAUUCAUUACACUAAGUAAUAUAUCCAAAAAGAAAUAUCAACAUAGAAAGAGAUAUUCACACUUAAAAAAAAACAUCUCAAACUAAUCUAAGAAAUAAAUAGGGAAUGUCCCAUUCUAAUUUAUCAGUCAAAAUAUCUAAGAAAUUUGUAGGCAUAUUUGCCAACCAUGGAAAAAACUUUUGGAAAGCUCUCAUGUCGCCUCCAAGGUGCAUUCACUUUGCGCCAUGUGGCGCUCAAUCUAAGGGUUGAAGCUUUGGCCAACUUAAUCCUAUAGUACUUUCUUACAAAAGCUUCCACUAGCCUCCUAUAACCCGAGACCACGUUGACCUCCAAUAGCCGAUCUAACACUGCUUGCCAUUCAGUGGAAGAGUGUUCAUUAAAGCCGGCACUUUCUCAAAAUCCGGUAUAAGAUAACCAUUCCAGAUGAUUUCCUGUAUCAUUUGAUUAACCAUGACCAUGUGUGAUACUAAAUCACCAUCAUGCCACCGAUAAUCAGCUAACUCUGUCAUCAGCCUUUUAAUUCUUGCUUUUCCUUCGUCCGUUUUCGGGAUUGCAGGUAUCCGUGCAUAACGCAUCAUAGUUCCUGCAACAAAUGCAGAACCAAAAAAUAGAUCACUUAUAAUCCACAAUAAACAAAAUGGAAAAUACAUAAUUUUACAUGAUUCAUGCAACAAAUGCAGAAUAAAAAAUGGAUUACCUCUAACUCACACAGACAUAAUUGAAAAAAGAAACUUUGUUUUUUUGUUUCUUUUUUUUUUUGUUUUGUUUUGUUUUUUUUUUGUUUUUUUUUGUUUUGUUUUUUUUUUUUCGGGUCAACGAUCAACGGUCAUCGGUCAACGAGUCAACAGUCACUAGUCAAGUCGUCGGAUUGGUCGGACCGGAUAGACCGGUCGGACCGGUCAGGCCUGUUGGGCCGGGUUGGACGAACCGACCGCAUGUGCCGCGCGUGUGUGCGGGCUGACGUCACGCAGACGUCAGCUGGCACGUGCCGCAUGCGUGCCAGGCGUCCGCGGGUCGGGUUGAGUCGGGUCUCCGGUCGAGUUGUUGAUCGGUGACCGCCCGGCUAACCGUCGUAGGCACUAAUGUCAUCGAUGACGUCAUCCCAGCAGUUACCGACCGUUGGGUGACGUCAUGCUGACGUCAGCACGCGUCGGUCCGCCGAUCGGCGCAUGCCGGUUCGGCAUCGGCGUCGCGCACGUGCCGGUUCGCCGACCGGCGCGUGGCGCCCAAGCGCAACGGCUUUUGGCCGCGCGUGUGGGCGCGUACGGCGUCACCCGGCGGCGCACGACAUGUCGCCGGACUCGUCUCGACGAGCCCUUUCACCCUAUGCUUUCAGAAAUCGAUUUCGACUUACAGAAACUCGAAUAAACGGACGAACAGUGCUCGGGUGUCGGGAUUUCUCGCCCCAAUCCGCGUCGGCCGUAUUUCUUUGCGAAAAAUCAAUCAAAAACAUGAAAAGGGUCAGGAAAACAUGAACUCGGGCUUUGAUACCAAUGUUGGGAAUAACGGAUUCCCGAAAAGUCAGAUUCGACAUUAAAUCGAAUCCCUAAAUCGAAUGCGGAAGACGAAGCACGGGAAAAUCACGUAUCACCGAUCCUAAAGCACACCACAGAUUCAAGAGUACCUUGUUAGCCACAGAUUAAAUGUGACAUUCCGAUUUUCUGAUUCUAUUUUCAAUAAAUUGAGAUGGGCAUUUCGUUGGCACGCAUAUAGUUCAUUUCCUUGAGUCGGUCACUCAUGUGGAAACUAGUCUAUCAGGUGAAGCUGUUAAGAAUUUCUAAUGCAUCAGACUCGAGAAUUUGAUCAGGAAACGACCUUUCGACCGAGCUAAUUUGCAAGGGUCAUUACGGCACAAUUAAAAAUCGAUUAGAGAUCGGAGAUAGGUCGACUCGACAGAGACAUGCGAUCGAGUGUGGGUGAUUCCACUAGAUUGCACAAUUCUUGUCGAUUGGCACUAGACCGACUUUCCUGUCGAUUGGGUACUCUGUGUUCGUAUUUGAAAUCUUGAGAUUUACCCAACAACCGAAAGUCGCCAAUGUUUCAAAGAUGUACAUUGUGGCUUGAGAUGAUCAACCACAGGUCAAAUGCAUGAAAAUUUCUAAAGGCUACCCGGUAGGUUGAGCCGCGCUAGUAUCGUGCCAAAGUGAAAUUAACCGUGAAAUUGGGAUCGAAUUCAGAAAUUGGAAGUCUGGGUGUGUCACAAAUCAUUUUAGGAACAUUAUCUAAUCUUCGGAAGAUUUUUCAUACAAGUCGAGUUUUUCGGCAAAAUAAUCAAGGUAUGGCUAAUUUGGCUCGAGAAAUUAGUAGGCCCGCUUUUGGUCGUACUUUUGGGACUUAAGUUGAUUGUAUGGACAAGUGAAGAUGUGAAUUAAAGUGUGGUGACUUUGGAUUAAUUUUAUGGACUUCAAUUGGAAGAUAAUUGAAUGGAAUUAAAGAAAUUAAUGUACAAAGUUUCAUGCCCCGGCGGAAAAAUAAAAUGGACCCAUUGAAGGAUGUUGUGGGAGAGGAGAUAGUGGAAGAUGACAUCAUGGGGUGAUGUCAUGCUGAUUGAAGCCAAGGAUUGAGGGCUUGACAAGUGGAGGGUGGAGAUUUAAUCUCCAAAAAGGGGCCAUCACCAUCAUCUUCAACCUUGGGAAGGAGAGAGAAAGGGAAAGAGGAAGGAUGCGUGACCGGACCAGCCAAGCCGACCGCCCAGACGCCGCCUCCUUCGCCGCUCGUCGUCCACCGUUCGUCAUCGUCGCCGAAGCCGUCACGGUCGUCGUUCGUCCGCACGCUGGCACCACCGCUCGCACCACCGUCACCCCCUCUCUCCUCCAUCUCCGCUGCAGCUCGAUGUACCAGCAAAUCCGAAGACGCCGAAGCAGCCCACGGUCCAGCCGGAUCGCCGUUGCGCGCCCCUCUCGCGUCGUCCGCUGCCUCGCACGCCGCUGCUGUCCCGCGAGCCGCCUCCCUCACCAUCGUCCUCGCUCGUCUUCGCCUCCAGGAGGCUGUUCGGCCAGUUUAGGCCAUGGCUCAGCCGCCUCCGGCCACCGUGCGCCCCCACCUUAGCCCGCCGGAGCUCCGCCUAGUCCUUGCCGCCCUUGCUCGCCCCAACCGACGCCGGAUCAGCCCUCCUCCGAGCUUGCUCAGUAGCUGCAAAAAUGGGUAUCACAGCGGGGUUUUGGCCCGUUUUGGCCGUAUUCCCGAGCCCGGAUGCUCGGCCCGCUUUGAUGAAAGUUGUUCUCCUCGGCGUCCCCGUCGUUUGGUCUGCUCGGCUCGCUAAUCUGGUGAGUUUAACUCACUAAACCUUGAUUAGACGGUUAAUUAUGCCCUAAGUUAAGCAAGUUUAGGUGGAUAUUUGAGUUUAUUUAAUUGUGAUUUGGGUUAAAAGGUUUGUUUAAUUCAAAGUGUGUUUAAUUAAAGGUUAAGAUAGUUUAUUUAAUGAUAAACCUUGAUGGGACAUAAUAGGAUUUUAAUUUUGAAUUAUUUAAUUACUUCGAAAUUCUGGAAAUUUAUAAUAUUAUAUUAUAUUCCGAAAUUAUUAAAAUAUUAUUAUAUUAAAAAAAAAACGGAAAAAUUAUUUUUGAUCCCGAUUGCUCAGAAUUUCGUUUCAAUCGCUGCUGUGUAGUUGGAUUUUGAAAUUGAUGAUUGGAUAUUAUAAAUUGAGUGUGGAUCGUGAAAAAUAUGAAUAUUAUUAUUUAAUUAUUUUCGGAAUAAAUUUAAUUAUUUAAUAAAUUCCGAAAAUUUUGUUAGGACCCUAAACUCUCAGAAUUUUGUGCCGAUCGCUGCUGUGCAUUUAGAAUUUGAAUUUGAUGAUUGGUUGUGGCAAAUUGAGUGUGAUUGCAAUAAAUAGGGAUUAUUUAUAAAAUCCUAAGUGUAGAAAUUGAUGGGAGAUUGGCUGUGAUUGACCACCUAUUAAAGGUCGUGCCCAGUGAGGCCGUGAUGUACCACCUAGGAAAGGUCGUGCCCAGUGAGGCCGUGAUGUACCACUUAGGAAAGGUCGUGCCCAGUGAGGCCGUGAUGUACCACCUAGGAAAGGUCGUGCUCAGUGAGGCCGUGAUGUACGACCUAGGAAAGGUCGUGCCCAGUGAGGCCGUGAUGUAUCACCUAGGAAAGGUUGUGCCCAGUGAGGCCGUGAUGAACCACCUAUGAGAGGUCGUGCCCAGUAAGACCGUGAUGAACCACUUAUGAGAGGUCGUGCCUAGUGAGGCCGUGAUUAACCACCUAUUAGAGGUCGUGCCCAGUGAGGCCGUGAUGGACCACCUAAUUAAAGGUCGUGCCGAGUGGGGCCGUAAUUGUCACUGUCUGUUAAACCUUCCUAUAGGGCCGGGAUUGAGAGUAAUGAUUGAUUUGCUAGAAUGACAUGUAAUCGGCCGAGUCGAUUGAUCGCUGAGACGAUCAAAGUGGUUGAAUUGUUUUGAUAAUGUGAUUGUGCCACGGUUGUUUGGUUAUCAUAAUUGUACGUGGUUGAAUUAUAUAAAUUGUGCUAACCUGCAGAUGAAGGCUGAGGCGAGGUAAGUCUUCUGUGUGAUGUGGCUAGGUCACCCGGGGCGUAUUUUCUUUUUAAUAGGGGUUUAGGGGGUUGAACUUGCUGAGACAUCGUCUCAUCCCGGUUGUGGGAUUAAAAUUUCAGGUCCCCGGUGGACGGAGUGGCCAGAUAGCUUUGGUUGGUCUUGAGGAGUUGCAGAUGUGAAGUCGUAAGAUUGGAGAAUGUGUUCGACUUGUAGGUCGUAGGUAGUUCAUUUUUAAGAGCCGGUCUUUUGUAGACUGUUGGUCGUAGACCCUUGUUUGUAAUUCUGUUGAUUUGUGAAAGUGUUAUGGGGUGAUUUUGCUUCAUGCUUUCCUAUCCCGUAUUUUAUUGUCAGGGGUUUUAUAAUACGUUCCGCUUGCGCAAUAAUAAAUGAAUGGGGCCGGCGACAGUACCUGGGAAUGUCGCAUUUGAUCGACCGUGGUGGGAUGUGCUCGCGCUCGGGGUUCGGGGCGUGACAUUAAACACCAAUGCUGAAGAUUGAGGAAGAGAAACCGAUCAUGUUCGAUCCGAUGAUGUCAAUUGGCUUUAAAAGGAAGACAACGUCGCCUCUUUUGCUUACUGUUCUUUUUUUUAGAGAGAGAGAGAGCGUUUGAAAGAGAGGGAGACGUACGUAAUGUCAAAAAGGUGCAUUCUCCCUCUCUCUCCUCCCUUUUAUACGACCCUCCAUCCACGGGCCCUAUUCCAGUGGAACGGGCUUUUAGGCCCAACAUGGGCGGACGGGCCAACUUAGGCCCAUGCCCAUCACAUAAAACCAUCAUCUAUGAACGAUCUGGAAUCCUCCAUUUGAGCAAUCAGAUGACCUGUUCAUGUAAACCCUUGCUGCACUUCAUUAGUCUUAUAGUUUGUAGCCUUAACAUCUACUCAAGCCUAUAUCGAGUUCGUUCUUGGAAUGUUAGAUAGACAUAAUCCCGGUAUGCAAUUCCCUUUCCAUCCCUGACCACUUCUGAGAACUGCGGCCAGCUUUGCCAACUCGGAGACCUUAAGAUAUUUCUCUGAUCCCGGUUUUCCUUCCAUGUUCUCUAUCAGGAUUUAUCUCCUCCAAAAAGAGAGGGGAGGUCAGCUCAUUUAGUUGAGAAGUGUUCCUGUUUCCAUUGCAUAGAUGGACCAUGUGCGUAAGUUAGGCUUAGGCUUCAUUUUCCUAAUCAUGGAACUGCUUUGGCAGCAUCCUCUUACGAAAUUUAUAGCUGCAAGGAGAAAAAAGACGCAGAAAAAAAUAUCUGCUAGCCAGUUGUAUGAACAUAAAUAGUGCUGUAUAAACUCUCUUGGUGAUAAAACUCUCUUCCUCACUGAGCUAAUUGACAAAAUGGAUUUGCGUUCACUAAUAUUCUAAGCUUCUAAAAAUGGGGGCCUCCAUCUGAGGCUUUGACUAGAUGCUGCUGCUUAUCCUGGCACUGAAGUGAUGACAUCGUGCCAUUGUCGUUUAGGCCUGCCUAAUUGUUUUGAUUUGGAGCUUCUUUCAUUCGUCUAUUGCAAUGAUAUGUUUUUAGAUAUGGGUGUUGUUUGGGAGUCAACUUCAAAUGAGAGAUUUGUUCUCCUGAUGUAUCAUCCUUCUAUCUCCUGUUUCAGGUUGGAGUUCACUAUGAUGGGAUUAUCUAUGAAUUUGCGCCUUGGAAUGGUGGUCAUUGGGAAGGUACUUUAUGGGGUCUGGUAUAUGGAGUCAGAAAAUGAGACGCAUAGUUUCCUGUUAUAACUUUAACAUAAUGGUAAUGGAGAGUCCCUCGCCACAACCGUGACUAAGCCACUUAAGAGGGCAGAAGGUGUGUGGAUUGCUGCUAUUGCUACCUCUAUAUCUUCUAGCUUUCAUCCAACGUGAAGUUGUAUACCUCAUGCAGAAAUUUGUUUGUGUUUGCCAGUAGCACAAUGCUGUUUAACAGUAUGUGCGUAUGUUGUAAAUAGGAUUUAGUCCUUCUCAGCAAGAACAAAGUAUGUGAUUUUGAUCAGUAAAGUGAAGUGAGCAGAAUUUGUUGAUUCUUUGCAGGUUGUAGUGGAGGCAACAAUCAAGGAUCCUGGUACAACAUUGCGUGCUCCAACUGCAGAGGCUGGCCUUGCUCCAGCUUGCAAUGAUUCUUGUUUUGGUGAUCUAAAACUGCACAUAUGGGAAUGGAGAUAUGAUGGAAUUGAGGGAAGGCGAGUUCCAUAUUUUGGACCGAUUAUCCUCUACUGCGUAGCAAUGGUGUUUAACUUUUUACUUUGUGCUAGAAGAUGAAUGUGGCAUCACUAACUGUUUCUGGAACCUCCUCUCAUAUGGAAGCCUCCAACACCAAUAGUUAUGGACAGUUAACUGUAGAUUUUGCAUCUCUGCAAAAUUUCUUGUUUAACCAAAAUAUAUUAUAGAAGUGGCACAAGAUAUUCCUCAGCAUUGCAGUACAAAAAGGAUCAAAGACAAAAAUCCUCUUGUAUUACUUAAGGACUUUAUCCAAGUAAUACGUCUUGCUAAGAGUUAGCAGGGCUAGGGCUGUCAUCCCUCCCAUUUGAUGGCCUUGUUUCGGGUUUUGGACAUUACCAACUUGCUAAGGCGAAGAGCGAUGAAAUCCUCCAGUAAAUGGCAUUUGUCUGAGUUCAAUGUCCAGCAGAAGGAAGUAUGCCCAAGAAUGGGCAUAUUGAUCAUUCCUACCUUUCCUUGCAUAAAGUCAUUGUCAACUUCAGGCAUUCCACCUCUCGAUCACAUAUCAUUCCUACCUUUCCUUGCAGUCAUUGUAUUAGAAAGGUAAGACCUCCACGCUGGAGCUUUUGAGUUGUGUUUUGAGGUUCCUGUUCAUAUUGAUGGGUUUUGCGGUUUGGCUCCUUUCCUCAAACCUUCGGUCUAUAGUUGAUGGCUCCUAUUUACUCCGAGGUUGUCCGGAAGAGCCGUUAGUAACUUUUUCACAUGUAUAGAGGUCUAAUUCAGGGCGGGUUGAGGAAGACAUUAUUUGUAAAAACAGUAGCUCUCUAGACCUUCCUCUCAUUGUGGUCUCCAGGUACUGUAUCACUGAAAUGACGCCCAUGGGAAACUUCUUUCCCGUGUCUUUUACCUGACACAUGGUCAUAACAUAGCUACAUCGCGACACAAGGACGAUUCCUGCAUGAUUUUUGUCACGAAGCACCUAUUGGAGAAAUCUUUCCAGAAUAUUUUGAAGCUGACAAAACAUUUCUAUCAGUCUAAGUCUGGAUAUCGAUAGUUAAAGUCUCAAGAAUUUAUAGUCUCAAGACUUUGUUAUCUCAAGACUCAAGACUCAAAAUUAUUCUCACUGACAGUCUUUCUAAUCCAGUGUUGAAGAAAAUCCAAAGUCGAGGUUUAUGGUUGAGGAUUUGAUUCUAUCCUCUGGAAUAGAUUCUUUGGUUGGAUAAUCAUUUCGGAUUCUUUAAUUCUUAUCUAAGAUCAAUUGAAGAUCCGAUGGUCGACGAAAUAAUCUUGGAUUAUUCUAUUCUUGGAAACCGAGAUCCUGAUUGUAUGGGCGAACAGGAUUGAUGGGCUAUCAUCAGAUUCCUUAAAUAGCUCGGAUGAUCUUCUUGAUUGAUUCCGUCCAACGGGUAGAUUGGAGGAAUUCCUUUGGUAAGUGCCAACGGCUAUGAUGGCAUGAAGGAGUAUAAAAUGAAGAUGUUCUAGUUGUUUUAAGUGUGUGAUCGAUAGAAAAAUUCCAGAGUCUGAAGAUCCUUGAUUGUUAGUCGAGACUGAGCGAAAUUGUACACAGAGAGUGUUUGUACUUGGUAACGCCUUGAGCGAAUGUGGUAGAUCAUCUAUACCUAGAAAUCAAGGAAGAUCAACACUGUAACAACUCUUUGAUCAUAGUGGAAUCCAGCCAAUCGGCUGUCAGUGCAGAAGAGUGGACGUAGACUUGAAUCAAGCCGAACCACUAUAAACUGAGUGUUCAAUUCUCUCUUUCCCUUACUCAGUCUUGCGAUUGAAUUUUUAACUGUUGCAAAUUCUUUAAUUGUUUAAAUAUCGUGCAAGCUUCGAGAAAUUUUUUUAUAUACCUAUUCACCCCCCCUCUAGGUACUCGUACUAGCUAUUUCAGCACCGAUGGUGAUUAAUCGAUCCUGUGGAAAAUCGAUCCUUCCGAACUGAUGGGGCCACGGACCAGAUCAAAUUUGAGUGGCGCCGUGGCUGGUUUAGGUGGGUCUGCUUAUUUCAACAAUAAUGGGGAUUGGCAUCUUUUGCACGGUGGAAACUGGUGGUUAGGAAUCUCUUCCCAGAGGGACCAAGCUCGCAGUUAAAGGCCUCUCAUGGUCCCAACUCAAGCUUUUAUUGCAGAAUACGCCAUCUGCUAUUCACAUGGUGGAGACAUUAUCGAUUAAUAAUGUUCGGGACAAAGCUUGAAGGGAGUGAAAGGACACCAGAGGCCUUUCCCCCUUUUAGUUGACCUCCACCUUAGUUGCUUUGAUUCCCAGUAUUUGUUAAAAGAAAAAUAAAGGGGAAACUGGUGGUUAGGAAUCUCUUUCCAUAGGGAGCAAGCUCGAAGUUAAGGGCCUCUCAUGGUCCCAACUCAAGCUUUUAUUGCAGAAUACGCCAUCUGCCAUUCACAUGGUGGAGACAUUAUCGAUUGAUAAUGUUCGGGACAAAGUUUGGAGGGAGUGAAAGGAUGCCAUUAGAGUCCUUUCCUUACAAAGCUUGAAGGGAGUGAAAGGACAUCAGAGGCCUUUCCUUCUUUUAGUAGACGUCCACUUUAGUUGCUUUGAUUCGCAGUAUUUGUUACCAGGUUAUUGGUCUAAAAGAAAAAUAAAGGGGAAAACACGGCGGGUAGGCUUCCUGUCCUGAUCCGUGGUCACCCUCGCCAUGCAGGAAUCUCUUCUUUCAUAGGGGGGAUUUGUGAUCGACAUCGGAGUUCCCUUGGGAUUAAUCCACAUUCUAAAGAAAAUCAAGACUGGCCUUCCUUCCUUCCUUUCCCAUUUCUCCGAUCCAUGCCUAACAGCCGUACCGUUUCUUUCCUAACGAUUAAUUUUUAAGCAUACAGGAUUCCUUCCAUACAAUGAUAAUGGCGGAGAUCGAUGAAUUAAUCUACAAAAUCAGUUUGUGGACGAUGUGGAUUCCUCCUUUUCAGCAAUCAGAUAUGAUCUGUUCAUCUAAACACUUGCUAUAUGUCAAAGUUAUUUUGCAUUUUGCAGACUAAUCUUAUAGUUUGUAGCGCUAACGACAUGGAGUGGUUCUUGAAAUGUUAAAAAGAUGUAAGUGGGGAACCCAAUUCACUUUAUGAGAACUGCGGCCAGCUUUGCGAAAAGUGGAGAAAUUAAAAGUUGAACCGCGACAAAAGUUGUGUGAUCAAAUCUUCCAUUCACUUCAGCCAUUACCAACAUAUGUUUUGAGGACUAUCCGGGUUUCCCUUCCAUAUUCUCCACCAAAAGUUGUGCUAGAUUGUGUUUUCUUUUCCUUGAAAGUACCCUAAACAAUGUCAUAGUUGAGCUUUAAUUUUUUCACGACACAGUUGUGUUUUCCUUCAUCUCGGAUUGGAGGGAGUGUUCUGAUUAAAAGGUUACAAAUAUAAACAUCACCCGCAUUUAUAUUUAGAUAUAUUUGAGUGUCCAUUUCAUAUAGCCCUUGAUCGGAUGUAUGGUUUGCGGUGAGCAAUGAAGGUAUAGGUCACAAUAUUCUAUGCCUCUCAAUUCCCCUUUUUUAACCAUGUGCAACAUAAGGUUCUGAUCUCCCGCUGGACGCCUUUCACGUGGUUCGCUGGUGAAUGAAGUCGUGAAACAUAUCCUACAAUCGCUCCUCUUCAAGGGUUCAUUUUUCUAAUAGCAAUAAUUUAGAACCUCCGAUUGAAGUUUCUUAUGCAACUGCAUAAUUUAAACACGUCGGCCUUUCUUCCAUAGAUAAAUCCUUCGCUCUAUCGCCACUUCACCAAGCAUGAAACUCGUGCAUGAUAAACCGACAUAAACUUCACCAGAAACGCGUCAAAACACUAGCAAAACCCACGGGAAAGAAAAAAAAAAGAAAAACAAGGAAAAGCCCGGCACUACCAGACGGCAAGCAAGCAUCACGAUGCGAAAACCAAAAGAAACACGUGCAUGAUGAUUUACCGGCUUAUUUUUUAGACGAUCUCGGACGGAUAUCGUUAAAAUACUGCCGAGAGCUUAUAACAAAAAGCACUUCUCCCGCAUAUUUCUUGCAACCUGUUCCACGUGGCCAUCGAUCGUUACGCAUGCUUUUGUCCGUCACCUCAUAAGUAAAAUCUCAAGUCUAUCCAUAUUGGUCCCCACGUGCUGAUCCGCAUGGAACGGUUCUCUUAUGUUCUAUAUCUAUAUAAAGCUGCUGGAUUGUCAAGCAUCCAAGACCCUCAAAGAUUGGAUCCAUUUUCUCCAAGAACUCAGCAAGUCCAUAGAGAGAAGCAAAUGGCGGUUGCUCACUGGCUGGUUCUUUUUGUUACGAUAAUCAUGGUGAGCAAUGCACGGGAUGCGAAUGGGGCGUUAUCAGCAACGACCCUGGAAGCGAUAGCAAAAGCUAACGUGAACGGCCCUUACAUUGGCAUCGUGAUCCCUAACCUUUUUGAGAUGGGUCCACUUCUUAAUUCGUCGAGUUACAGUGCUGCUGAAAUCAUAAAUUUCUCAGGUAACAAUUGCAUUUUGUCUUGACUUAUAGAGUUCCUUAUAAAACAUGGAAAAUGCUUUCUUGGUCGGACUUGGACAUGGACUCUUUGUUUACCAAUAUGAAUGUGUGGAUCAGUCAUGAGGUGAUCGGUUUUCGGUUCAGUCCGAUUCUAUCUAGGAAUCGGGAACUAGAUCGGGAGAAUUGGUUCCCAAUUUUGGGACUAGGAAUUAGAGCGGACGGUCCCAGGACCAAAAUCAGGUUCCAUGGAACCGAUCAUUUAGCAAAAAGGAAAGAUAAUAAUUUACUAAAUACUAGAAUUGUUAUUAUUUUUAGGGUUUAUUGUUAUUUUUAAGAAACUAAAAAAUAUAUUUAAAAAAAAAAGUCGGUCUAGUUCAGUUCAAUACCCCCUUGGAACCGAGAAUAAGAUCGACAAUCAUUGAUUCCUUUUUUAUGGAACUAGGAUUUAUAUUGAUCAUUUCGGGAACUAGAUCAAAUCUGCCGGUUUGGUUCAAUCUGGACAAGAGGCUUUAGCUCCACUAGAUUUGGAGCUUCAAGCUCACUAGAGGUCGGUGAGGCUCGAGCCUUGCAAGAGGUUGGUAAGCUUGAGCCUUGCUGGCCUUGGGUGAGCUUGCUCCUUGCUUGUGCUGGUUGGUGGCCGCAUUGUGGCUGGCAACUGACUUAAGCGCCAAUAUUUAGUUAUAUUUUAAAAAAUAUUUUUCAAUUUUUUAUGGAUUACGUGUAGGUUUUCCAUCAAUUCAUUUUCUUAAGUGAAUCAAAGUGAUUCACAAAUUUUGUGUAAGCAUUUUGCAUAAGAUUGGUUUUUUUUUUUUCAUAGAUAUCAUUAGUUAAUUAAUAACUCUUAAUGACGUGGUAAAAAAGUAGACGCUGCCCGCAAGUUUUUUAGGGCAUGCGUGGCCACAAAAUUUCACCGAAAACGAAGUAACAAGGAAGGAUUGAAUCAAAGAGAUGUAGAUUGACAAUGAAUUGUAAAAUGGUUAGUUUCCCUAAUAACGUUCAGGAAAUAAUCUUUCACUUUAUCCCUGACACUUCUCCAUCCCUUGACGGACUCCAAGGCAGAAGAUUUCGAUUCGGGACAGUCGAAGAGAGGAAAGUCAUACUGGUCAUGACAGGACUGAGUGUGGUAUGUGUCCUGCUACUGUUUUCUUCAAAAUCAUGUACUCGUCUUGUCAAAUUUUCAAAACAUAUUUCGACAACGGCUUAAUUUGGUUGCGACUAACGCGCUCGUGCGUGGUGAUAUUGAGGGAAAGUACGUAUGAACUGGUGCAGAUAAACGCAGCCAUCACCACGCAGCUUCUGCUGAGCUUCUUCGAUGUGGAGGGUGUGAUUCAUUACGGAAUUGCUGGGAAUGCGAACCCUGAUUUGCACAUCGGAGACGUCGCUAUUCCCCAGUAUUGGGCACAUACCGGUCUUUGGAAUUGGCAGGUUUUCCACUUGUCAACCCGAUUUUUAGAUUCAUCCACCCAAUUCUUCGAUGUGAAGGGAGAAACUUGACUUUUCUUUUUCUUUGCCUAGAAAUUAUGGGGGAAAUUCUACAGUGGUUCUCGUAGUACACGAGAAAGAAACUGUCAAUGCGAUUCGUUAUUCUUUGUUUUUUUCCUCCAAAUUAAUAUUUUUUAAAAUAUAACUCAAUUCAAAAUUGUUAAAUUUAUUUUAAAGAUGUCAACAUUUGCACUGGUUGUGUCACAUAAAUGGUCGGUGCUAAUUGGUCGGUACUUUAUUCGGUCAUCUACACUGAUAAAUAUCAAUACAAUGGUGUGCGAACAGAGAUACGGGCAGGGUCCAGAAGAUGAACUCGCAUUGGAAUCAAACGGAGACUACACGAGAACGCUUGGGUACUUGAGGUUUGCGAAUUACACUACAAACGUCACGGGUUGUGCUUCACACGACAAUCUCUUGAACAACAUAUGGUAUCAACCGGAGGAAGUGUUUCCUGUCACUGGAACUCCUGAGGAAAGACAGCAUGAGUUCUGGGUCCCCGUCGGUUCCACCUACUUCGAGGUGGCCAAGAAGCUUGAGGUACUACUGCUCGAUGCUUUCUAGGAUUUGCUGUUGUAUCUAUAUAUGUUGGGAUAACUUUACUAGAACUGAUUUAUAAAGUGAAUAUAUGGCGAAUCUCAGGAAAAAGUGCGCCGGGACCUCUAGGGCUUUUGGAAGAGUUUUACUCAACCAAAAGAAAGUCAGAUGAGAUCAAUACAUGGAAAUGCAUUAUUUACAUGAAGAGUAACUAAAUGGCUUUAGCAAAAAUAUCUUUCUUGCUUAUCACUUGAAUAACACCGCUUUAGAUAUUUCAAAGCAUUAUUUAAAAAGUAUCACGAUUGUGUAGAGUUUCAUGAGUCAAUACUUUAAUAGAGAGAAAUCUUGGCCACCUUUCUUGUCUAUCAAAAUUAAUCAUUUAUGAUGAAGGGUCUAAUUCACACAUAUUUUUGAUGUAUGUCACUCCUUAGGGCUUGAAAUUGGAAUCUUGCGUGAACGCGACCACGUGCUUGAACUACACGCCGAGUGUAAGCACCGUUGAAAGAGGCGUCAGUGCCAGCAUCUACCUUGACAACAGCGCCUACCGGAGCUUCAUCUACGACAAGUUCAAUGUAAGCCCUGUGGACAUGGAGAGCGCAUCGGUCGCCCUAAUCUGUUACCAGCAGAAUACGCCUUUCAUCGCCAUCAGGGCGCUCUCUGACUUGGCCGGCGGUGGGUCUGCCGAGUCGAACGAGGCCGACACUUUCGUUGACCUCGCCUCGAACAAUGCGGUGACGGUCAUGGUGGAGUUUAUAAAGCAGCUUUCCUCCAGAAACUCUCUCUAAUGGCAAGAUUGGCAGCCUAAUAUAAUAUUCUAUUGUCAAUAAUAAUGCAAUGAUCCAUUGCGUUUGUGUUUAUUUGUGUAGCAACAUGAACCCUGAUGGGCCUUGGACCUUGGCAUAGCUGAGGAAGAACCUUCAGCAGUGACCGACUGCCUAAAAAAUUUCCCAUAUCAUUUUCCUUACUUUAAAUCCUCCCAUAGUAAUAAAAGAUCAAAGUCAUGAGGGUUUGAUGAUUUGAAAUUCUUCCUCACACUUAACUUUGCUUGAAUUAUGCACUGGAUAUUCAUAGAUUUGACUUUACUCAAUUAUGUGUGAGAUUGGACUCAAAAUCAAGAACUAGAGGUAAUAUAUACGUCUACUUCAACAUGAACCGUGUGUUGGUCUAGUAAAAGAGAAGAUAGUGUCUAUCUUUAUUUAAAUCUUAAUAUUAACAACAUUUCCUUAUUUCUAUUGAAAGUAAGAAAGAACAUUUCAUUAUUCAAGCUAAAUCCAUGAAAAAAGAAAGUCAGAUCUUAUGUUAUUUUGACAUUGUUGGUGAGUUUGUUUAAACUUUUCAGGUCCAAGUAUUAUUGGGCCUGAACUCUUCUUCUCCUUUCUUAUUUAUUUCUCUUACAGAUUUUUUGCUAGAACUUAUUUAAAAACCAGGCAGGCCUAAUGGAAGUCGUGGGGCUAGCUAGGGGUUGUUCCAAUGGGUGGCUCUAAGUCUCUUUCUAAUUACCUGCAUUGCCUCAGUAGUAAGUUGCACCAACUCUGUGACAUCCCGAUUUUCCAAUUCUAUUUUCAAUAAAUUGAGAUGGGCAUUUCGUUGGCACGCAUAUAGUUCUUUUCCUUGAGUCGGCCACUCAUGUGAAAACUAGUCUAUCAAGUGAAGCCGUUAAGAAAUUCUAAUGCAUCAGACUCGAGAAUUUGACCAGGAAGCGAUCUUUCGACCGAGCUAAUCUGCAAGGGUCAUUACAGCACAGAUAAAAAUCGAUUAGAGAUCGGAGAUAGGUUGACUCAAUAGAGGCAUGUGAUCGAGUGUGGGUGAUUCCACAAGAUCGCACAAUUCUUGUCGAUCGACACUGGACCGACUUUUCUAUCGAUUGGGUACCCUGUGUUCGUAUUUGAAAUCUUGAGAUUACCCCGACAACCGAAAGUCGCCAAUGUUUCAAAGAUGUACAUUGUGGCUUGAGAUGAUCAACCACAGGUCAAAUGCACGAAAAUUUCUAAAAGCUACCCGAUAGGUUGGGCCGCGCUAGUAUCGUGCCAAAGUGAAAUUAACCGUGAAAUUGAGAUCGAAUUCAGAAAUUGGAAGUUUGGGUGUGUCACAAAUCAUUUUAGGAACAUUGAUUAAUCUUCGGAAGAUUUUUCAUGCAAGCCGAGUUUUUCAGCAAAAUAAUCAGAGAAUGACUAAUUUGGCUUGAGAAAUUAGUAGGCUCGUCUUUGGUCGCGCUUUUGGGACUUAAGUUGGUUCUAUGAUCAAGUGAAGAUGUGAAUUGAAGUGUGGUGACAUUGGAUUUAUUUUAUGGACUUCAAUUUGAUUCAAUUGGAAGAGAAUUGAUGAGAUUUGAAGAAAUUGGAUGUACGAGAUUUUAUGCCCCGACGAAAAAAUAAAUUGCAACCAUUGGAAGAGGUUGUGGAGGAUUGGGUGAAUGGAGUGUGAUGUCAUCCAUGAGGUCAUGAGGUGGGCCAUUUUUGGUUGGAUUAAAGAAAAAAAAGAAAAAAGAAAAGGGAAUGGUCCCAUCUCUCUCUCUCCUCCUUCUCUCUCCUCCCUCUCUUCUUCCUCUCUUCCGUGCGACUCCUCCAUCUUCUUCAUCUUCCUUCUUCGGCUACUCGGUUCCGUGGAGACCGAAGACCAAGGGAAGCAGCAGCCGUCGUCCACGCCUCUCGCCACCAUCGCCGCCCACGUGCCGCCGCUCGAGCACCUCGUCGUUCGUGCAUCGACUGCGUGCCUCCGCCCCUUUCUCCUUCUCUGUUUCGUUUGAAGACAGCAAACACAGAAGCAGCAACCUCAUCCCACUGCAACCGGAGCCAAGGCCGUCGUCGCCAUGCGCCGUCGCAGCUUCGCGAUUGCCCAGCCGCGCCGUCCACCUCCGUCCAGUCGAGCUGCCGUCCACGAACCGCCUGGCCAGCUGCUAUUCGGUGGUCUUGAGGGAUGGUAGAGACCCACCGGAGCUCCCUCCGACCACCUCCGGCCACCGUGAAGCCCCGCCUAGGUCUGGUUCAACUCCUCCGCUCACUCCCGACCCCAACCAGCCCCGGAUCUGCCCUCCUUCGCCCCCAACCAACAGCAAUCAGAGAAGAAGAAAAUGGGUAUGGCAGCCCCUUCGUGGGCUGUUUUGGCUGCCUUCCCGAGCCUGGAUGCUCGGCCCGCCUUGAGGAAAGUCGAUCCUCGCGUCGUCCCCGUCGUUUUAGUCCGCUUGGUUCGCUAAUCCGGUGAGUUUAACUCACUAAACCUUGAUUAGACGGUUAAUGAUGCCCUAAGUGUGCUUAGUCUAAGUUAAGUAAGUUUAUGUGGUUAUAUUAGUUUAUUUGGUUGAUGAUUAGAUUAGGGUGUUUAAUUAAGUUAAAGUGUGUUUAGUUUAAGGUUAAGUAUGUUUAUUUUUAAUAUAAAGCCUUGAUGUGACAUAAUAGGGUUUUAUUUUUGAAUUAUUUAAUGAUUUCAAAUUCUGGAAUUUAUAAUAUUAUAUUAUAUUCCGAAAUUAUUAAAAUAUUAUUAAUUAAAAAAAAACGGAAAAAUUAUUUUUGACCCCUGUUGCUCAGAAUUUCGUGCCGAUCGCUGUUGUGUAGUCGGAUUUUGAAAUUGAUGAUUGGAUAUUAUAAAUUGAGUGUGGAUCGUGAAAGACAUGGAUAUUAUUAUUUAAUUAAUUUUCGGAAUAAAUUUAAUUAUUUGAUAAAUUCUGAAAAUUAGUUUGGAACCUUAUUCUCUCAUAAUUUCGUGCUGAUCGCUGCUGUGUAUUUAUAAUUUGAAUUUGAUGAUUGAUUGUGGCAAUUGGAGUGUGAUUGUGAUAAAUAGGGAUUUUUUUUAUAAAAUCCUAAGUGUAGAAAUUGAUGGGAGAUUGGCCGUGAUGUACCACCUAGGAAAGGUCGUGCCCAGUGAGGCCGUGAUGUACCAUCUAGGAAAGGUCGUGCCCAGUGAGGCCGUGAUUAACCACCUAUUAGAGGUCGUGCCCAAUGAGGCCGUGAUUAACCACUUAUUAGAGGUCGUGUCCAGUGAGGCCGUGAUGAACCACCUAUGAGAGGUCGUGCCUAGUGAGGCCGUGAUUAACCACCUAUUAAAGGUCGUGCCCAGUGAGGCCGUGAUGGACCACCUAAUUAAAGGUCAUGCCGAGUGGGGCCGUGAUUGCCACUGAUUGUUAAACCUUCCUAUAGGGCCGGGAUUGAGAGCAAUGAUUGAUUUGCUAGAAUGACAUGUAAUCGGCCGAGUCGAUUGAUCGCUAAGACGUUCCAAGUAGUUGAAUUGUUUUGAUAAUGUGAUUAUGCCACGGUUGUUUGGUUAUCAUAAUUGUACGUGGUUGAAUUAUAUAAAUUGUGCUAACCUGCAGAUGAAGGCUGAGGCGAGGUAAGUCUUCUGUGUGAUGUGGCUAGGCCACCCGGGGCGUAUUUUCUUUCUAAUAGGGGUUUAGGGGGUUGAACUUGCUGAGACAUCGUCUCAUCCCGGUUGUGGGAUUAAAAUUUCAGGUCCCUGGUGGACGGAGCGACCGGAUAGCUUUGGUUGGCCUUGAGGAGUUGCAAAGAUGAAGUUAUAAGGAUUGGAGAGCGUGUACGACUUGUAGAUCGUAGGACAGUUCAUUUUUAAGAGCCGGUCUUUUGAAGACUUUUGGCUGUAGACCUCUGUUUGUAAUUCUGUUGAAUUAUGAAAGUGUUAUGUUGUGGUUUUGCUUCCUGCUUUUCUAUCCCGUAUUUUAUUGUCAGGGGUUUUAUAAUACGUUCCGCUUGCGCAUUAAUAAAUCAAUGGGGUCGGCGACACUACCUGGGAAUGUUGCAUUGGAAUGACCAUGGUGGGAUGUUGACGCGCUCGAGGUUCGGAGCGUGACAAACUCGAGAUCAGUAAGCUUCUUUUCCCUGAUCUCAUUCCAACAAGUUGGAGUUAUGCAAAUCCGACCAUAUAAGGCUUCAAAUGGAGCCAUUCUAAUACUUUGUUGAUAACUAUUAUUAUAAGCAAAUUCGACGAGAUGCAAAUGCUCGUCCCAGCUUCCUUUAAAAUCAAUUGUACAAGCUCUCAGCAUAUCCUCCAAUGUUUUGAUGGUUCUUUCUAUCUGGCCAUCAAUUUAAGGGUGAAAGGCCGUACUAUAUUGCAGUUUUGUUCCCAAUGAAGUUUGAAGAUUUUGCCAAAAUAUUGCUGUGAAUUUAGGAUCUUGAUCAGACGUAAUUGUCACCGGUACUUUAUGUAGACAUACUAUUUGUCAUACAUACAAGUGCACAUAAUCUUCCGAUGAGAAAUCCUUCUUUACCGCUAGAAAAUGAGCCAACCUUGUCAAUCGGUCAACUAUUACCCAAAUCGAGUCAUUCCAUUUUGACUCCUUGGUAAUCCUAGAACAAAGUCCAUGGUAAUGUGUUUCCAUUUCCACUCAGGAAUUUCAAGUGGUUGCAAUAAUCCACUAGAAUUGCAAUGUUGAACUUUUACUUGCUGACAUGAUAAGCACUUGGCAUGUCACGCCCUAAUCCUCAAGCACGCGCACAUCUCUUACCUUAGUCCAUUUUAAAAUGCGAUAUCACAAGACUACGUAUCGCUGACCCUUUCCUUUUUAAUAGCACAUGCGGAAGCUUAUAAAAAUCCCCAGACAAUAAAACAAUGGGAUAUACAAGUAGGACUAGAAACUUGAACUUGAAAACCAACACUCUUAUAUACACAUAUAACAACUCAGUCAUACAUAUACAUAUACAAGCCAAGCUAAAAAGGUUGGUUUCUACUCAAAUAGAUUCUACAGCAAAAGUCAUCAAAUAGGAGUGGAGGCUCAAUUCUUGUCACCCCCCGAACCUCGAGCGUGCCAACAUCCCACCAUGGUCAUGCAAAUGCGACAUUCUCAGGUAGUGUCACCGAGCCCAUUCAUUCAUUAUUGCGCAAGCGGAAUGUAUUAUAAAAUCCCUGACAAUGAAAUACGGGAUAAAAAAGCAGGAAGCAACACCACAACAUAACACUUUCAUAAUUCAACAAAAUUACAAACAGAGGUCUAUGGCCAAAAGUCUACAAAAGACCGGCUCUUAAAAAGGAUCUGUCCUACGACCUACAAGUCUGACACGUUCUCCAAUCCUUAUGACUUCACCUCCGCAACUCCUCAAGGCCAACCAAAGUUAUCCGCCCGCUCCAUCCACCAAGGACCUGAAAUUUUAAUCCCACAACCGGGAUGAGACGUUGUCUCAGCAGGUUCAACCCCCUAAACCCCUAUUAGAAAGAAAAUACGCCCCGGGUGACCUAGCCACAUCACACAAAAGACUUACCUCGCAUUAGUCUUCAUCUGCAAGUUAGCACAAUUUAUAUAAUUCAACCAUGUGCAAUUAUGAUAACCAAACAACUACGGCACAAUCACAUAAUCAGAACAAUUCAACCACUUGGAUCGUCUCAGCGAUCAAUCAACUUGGCUGAUUACAUAUCAUUCUAGUAAAUCAAUCAUUGCUCUCAAUCACGACCCUAUAGGAAGGUUUAACAACCAGUGGCAAUCACGGCCCCACUCGGCAAAAUUAGAAUUAGUGGCAUCACAGCCCCAUUUUACAACCUUUAAAAGGUGGUAGAUCCCGGCCCGAUGGGCACGGCCUCUAAUAGGUGGUAAUUCACGGCCCAACUGGGCGCGACCUUUAUCAAGUGGCAAUUCACAGCCCCACUGGGCGCGACCUUUAUCAUGUGGCAAAUCACGGCCCCACUAGGCACGACCUCUAAUAGGUGGUCAAUCAUGGCCCCACUGGGCACAACCUUUAAUAGGUGGUCAAUCACGGCCCCAUUGGACACAACCUGUAAUAGGUGGUCAAAUACGGUCGUUCUUCCAUCAAGUUUUGACACUUGGGAUUUUAUAAAAAGAAUCCCUAUUUAUCGCAAUCACACUCAAUUUGCCACAACCAAUCAUCAAUUUCAAAUUCUAAAUGCAUAGUAGCGAUCAGCACAAAAUUCUAAGAUAAUAAGGUCUCGACGAAAUUUUCGAAGUUUAAUAAAUAAUUAAAUUUAUUCCGAAAAUUAAUUAAAUAAUAAUAUCCAUAUUUUUCGCAAUCCACAAUCAAUUUAUAAUAUCCAAUCAUCAAUGUCAAAAUCCGAAUACACAACAACGAUUGACACGAAAUUCUGAGCAACCGGGGUCAAAAAUAAUUUUUUUUAAAUAAUAAUAUUUUAAUAAUUUCGGAAUAUAAUAUAAUAUUAUAAAUUCUAGAAUUUCGAAACAAUUAAAUAAUUCAAAAAUAAAACCUUAUUAUGUCACAUCAAGGUUUAUUAUUAAAUAAACUAUCUUAGCCUUUAAUUAAACAUGCUUUAAAUUAAACACACAUCUUAAUCUAAAUCACAAUUAAAUAAACUAAACUAACCACCUAAGUUCACUUAACUUAGACUAAGCACACUUAGAGCAUCAUUAACCGUCUAAUCAAGAUUUAGUGAGCUAAACUCACUGGACUAGCGAGCCGAGCGGACCAAAACGAUGGGGACGCUGAGGGGAACGACUUUCUUCAAAGCGGGCCAAGCAUCCACGGUCAGGAAGCCGGCCAAAAUGGGCCAAGAAGGGGCUGAGAAACCCAUUUUUGCAGUUGCUGGUUGCGGCUGGAAGAAGGCUGCUUGGCGGCGGUUCGGACACGGGGGACGAUGGAGAAGUGGCGGCUGUAGCUUGGCGGUGGCCCACGGCGGCGGUUGGCGGCUCGGCUGACGGAGGGCAACUCAAGACAACGGUGGUGACGGCUGGCGCGGCGAAGAGAAGUGGAGCAUAGCGGAGGGGCAGGAUGGCGAGGCGAGGCGCGCGCGGUCGCACGGGACGACGCGACGGCGACGGCGACUCAGCUCGGCGACGGAGGAGCGGCGAACAGUGGCGUGUGUGGGCUGGCUGGUCGACGGGUGAGCUCCCCUUAGCCGGCUCUCUCUCUCCUCUUCCCUCUCUCUCCUUCCCAUGGUUGAAAAUGAUGGCGAUAGCUCCCUUUUUGGAGAUUAAAUCUCCACCCUCCACUUGUCAAGCCCUCAAUCUUUGGCUUCAAUCAGCAUGACAUCACCCCCAUGAUGUCAUCUUCCACUAUCUCCUCUCCCACAACAUUCUUCAAUGGGUGCAAUAUCAUUUCCGUCGGGGUCCAAAUCCUUGUACAUCCAAUUUCUUCAAUUUUUCUUUCAAUUCUCUUCUAAUUGAAUCCGAUUAAUAUCCACAAAAUUAUCCUAUGAUCCUAAUAAGAUGUGUGAUAUAACCGGGCUUCCAACUUCUAAAUCCAAUCCCAAUUUUUACGGUCGAAUUCAAUCUGGUGCGAUUUCAGCGCGUCUAAUCCACUGAGUAGCUUUUGGGGAAAUUUUCUUACAUCCGACCUGAGGGUUAUCAGUUCCCAAGUCUGACGCAUCAAAAUCCUUUAAUUGCUUCACUCAAUAGACCAGUUCUCUCGUGAGUGGCCGACUCAGAGAGACGAACUACAUGCACAGAUGAAUUGCCCGACUCAAUUAACUGAAAACAAAAUUGAGAAAAAUCGGGAUGUCACAAUUCUUAUCAGGAUCCUACUUUGGAUCAUCCUCGGGGUUCUUCUCUAGAUACUCCUCUUCGGCUCUUUCUCCUCAGGUUCCUCAUCAGGGUCCUGAAAUGUUGUCCCACAUCCGGGAUGAGACUACGUCUCAGCAAGUUCUACCCCCUAAGACCCAAUUAGUAAACUAAUACACCUUAGGGUUGUUUAUGCACUGUUAGGGAAAUCCCUUAUGAUGUUUUGAAGAUGACAAAAUAAAUCAAAGGCUACUAACAUGUUUAAUGGUUAAGUAAUAGACCAUGCAGAUGAUAGAACAUGUAAAUGAUAUUAUCAAAGUCUGAAGACCACCAGACUUUAGUGUCAAAGUCUGUUCUACAUCAGAAGUCUGUCAACUCUGACUAAUUACAGACUGAACGUGAAUAAUGAACCAGAAGACAGACUCUAUGCUGAAGCUGAACUAGGUACAUACCUUAAAGCUAAAAUCUGUUCAGAAGCAGAAUAUGUUCAGACUCAGAUUGCAAAGUCUAUCGCACUCAGACUCAGAUUGUAAAGUCUAUUGCUAUCAAACUUUAUAUCCAGAUUUGACAGAAUGUAAUUCAAGCCCAAUCAUAUAACGGCUAGUGAUCUGGUUUGGAUUCCACAUCAAGAUUGAUUUGAUUGAUUCAAUCUAAUUGAUUGACGAUUGGAUCUUGAAGACAAGAACUUUUUAUACGAAGAAGCUUACUUAUGGAAACCAAGAUUCCGUUUGUAUGGGCGAUCGGAAUCAAUUUGGGAUUUUACCUUUGUCACUCAACGGCUACCAAAUCUUCUAGAUAUAGAACUGUCCAAUGGGUAUAUUGGAAGACGAUUCUCCGGGAUUCUGUCCAACGGCUAGUUUAGAAGUGGAGGAGUAUUUAAGGAGAUGAAGGACCGAUGAGCAAGUAAGAGAUAGAGCGUAGAAUUUAUAAUUCCAAAGUCUGAGCGACCUUCGAUCAUACACUUGUCUUUGGAGAGCUUAAACGUUUGUAAUCGUGCGAGAAAUACCAAAAGAGUGACUUAGUGAGAUAGUGUGAUCUACUAAGUGUUUGCACUCGAAGUUGUAAUCUCUUGUUGAUUGCAUAGUGGAAUCCAACCAAGAAGGCUGUUAGCGUGGGAGAGUGGACAUAGGCUUGGAUUAAGCCGAACCACUAUAGUUUAUGUGUUCUUAUUCUCUUCCCUAACUCCUUUGUUUGAAUUUUAUUUUAUUCCGCAUAUACUUGUCAAGAUUUAUUUUAUACACCUAUUCACCCCCUCUAGGUGUUCAUACUAGCACUCUCAAUUGGUAUCAGAGCCAAGUGCUCGGUUUAUAAAAGUGUUUUUACUUUUGAGCUAAAGAUUCUUUAUGGCUAGUAUGUUGGCACCAGGACUUAUGGAAGGGCAAAGCAACACAAGGCCACCAUAUUUUGAUGGAAAGGAAUACGACGUGUGGAAGAACAAAAUGAAAGCAUUCCUAAGAUCCAGAGAUCCCUUGCAAUGGGAUGUUGUGGAAAGAGGAAUCAAUCCCAUUGCUGCGUCUACAUCAAAUAAGAAUGGCAAAGACAAAGAAACCAAACCCCCCGCUCCUAUGUCUUGGAUGGAGAUGUCCAAAAGAGAAGCGCUUGAUGCAAAAGCUAUUUAUUCUUUAUAUUGCGCAUUGUCUCCUGUUGAAUAUAAUAGAAUCUCUUCAUGUGAAUUAGCAAAAGAAGUUUGGGAUAGACUUCAUGUUACAUAUGAAGGGACUGAUCGUGUAAAAAAGACAAAAGUAAACUUCCUGCUCGGCAAAUAUGAAUCUUUCAAGAUGAAGCAAGGAGAGUCGAUUGGAGAUAUGUUUAGCCGUUUUACGGAAAUUGUAAAUGGUUUAGCAUAUCAAGGUCAGCAAAUUUCUACCCCAAUGAAGGUCAACAAACUCUUGCGAGGUCUCUCAAAAGAAUGGAAUCAUGUUAAGAUCUCAAUCCGGGAGACUCAGAGGAUUCUGCCACUUUCCGUUGAUGAAUUGAUUGGCACUCUUCAAUCCUAUGAAGUGGAGCAACUCAACGAUGAAGAUCCCAAAGGUAAGAAGUCCAUUGCUUUAAUAUCUAAUGCUGUUUUUGAUGAAACAGACUUAGAAAAUGACAUGGACGACAAAGAACUUGCUUUUAUGAUUGAGAAAUUCAAAAAGUUGAGUAGAAAAGGAAGCAAAUUCAGUGGAAGAAGAAAAUACAAGCAGAAUGGCCAGAAAAGAACAAUAAAAGAAGAUGAUGAGCAAGGAAAUUUAUGCUUAAUGGCACAUUCAGAAUCUAAGUCUGAUUCAGGCACAGACUUAGAAUCAAAGUCUGACUCGGACACAGACUCAGAAUCCGAUGAGGAAAUCGAGAUGAGUUAUUUUUGCAGGAUAUAAAGAAGAAAGAAGAAAGAGAGUUUGGUAAGAAAUGUAUAUAUUUUUAUUUCUCAUUAUGCUUGAUAUUUGAUAUAUCUUUGGUUGAUUGAGAUUUUAUAAUGAUCAUAUUUUGCUUUAUUGAAGAAAGAAUCGCAUGAUUUGUUUUUGUGACAAGCUUUAAUUUGAUACAUGCGAUCAUUUUUGAUAUCAUGCUUAAAGACAAAUGAAUUUAUUUGGUUUAAUUUUAUACUCUCAAAUUUAAUCAUAUUUUGCAAAGUGAAAAUCUGUUUUACGUGAUGAUGCAAGAUAUUCUUAGAUAUUCAAAGAUUUCAUUCUCUAUGUUUUUAUCGUACCAUGACUAAGUGAGAAUUUAUUUUUCAAAAUAUCAUUAUGCAUAAUAUUCUUUCUUUGAGUACUCUGUUAUGAUGAAUUAAGAAAGAAUAUUUGGAGAUUAUAUAUUUUGCUCUAACGUCAUGGAAGGAUCCAAAUUGAUGGAUACCAAAAAUAAAAUGAGUUGAUUGCAGGAAAUUCUAUAAAGGAAGAACGAUCGUGAAUCUACGCAAAUUUUGGUACAAUCUGAAAAUAUCUCCUACGAAGAUUGGUAAUGUUUUUUUUUAAAUCAAUGGUAUAUUUGAAACAUAUACCAUGGGUAAGAGAAUAUUUUUCAUCCUACUUUGCAAAUCUCUACGUGCAUUUAUUCUGAUUUUGGAUGAUUAUUUAUUAUAUUGCAAAUAUCUUUUGUCAUAAAUAUAAGAUAUUGCAAUUUUAGCACGUGACAGAAAUAUCUAUUUUCCUUUUGCAAAAUGCAUGUCUGAAAUUUAUGCUCAAGGAAAUCUCUUUGAUCUUGAAAGAUAUUAAGGCAUAUUCAUGGAUAUUCUUGCUAUAUUCUUAGAAGAUAUAUUAUAUCUAGCAAGUUUGAUCCGCAAAUCGAAAGAAAAUAUUAUGUGACAUUUUUGCAAAGAUGAUUAUCUAUUAUACAAGAAUUUGCAGGUAUCAAUAGAAUCUUCCAUAUGAAUUUUGGAAAGCUCGACCUGAAAAUUAUGAAUAUUCCAUACUAUCUUUUGGAAGAUCGAAAAUUCCCUUUCUUGUGCAAAAUUUUUGCUUAUUGAGGAAAUCCCUUAUGCAUCGUACAAAAGGUUGAGUAGUUCUGAAUUUUAAUAAUUGAUAAUUUUAUACUAUUCAAUUUUUUAUUUGAAGAAAGGGUAUUAUAUAUUACGUGGAUAUUAUUUGUGGAAAAAGUUUGUUAAGUUUAUGCAGGUUGAAUUCGAGAUGAGCUUAGUUAAAGAAAAUAAAUUUUUGCCUCGAAAUUCAAAAUGCAAGUGAUCAUUGCAGAUGUUGUUGCUACAAAAGAAAUAUUGAAAAAAAAAUUGUUCAACAAGCAACAAUUAUUUCUAUUCGCAAAUAUUGUUGUGAUCAUAGGGGGAGAAAGCAAAUCCAAGAAAAAUGAAAGAAUCAUGAUCAUCUCAAAAAGGCAACAAAUUGAGGGGGAGCUUUGAUCAAUUAUGGAAAAAUCUUUUUGAAUUGAUCGUGAUCUUAUUAUGGAUGGAAUGAAAGGUAAAUGUGUCAGAAUUUGUUCUAAAAAAUCCGGUUAGUGCAUUUUUUAUUACCUUUUGUCUAAAAAAUGUGUCAUAUUAUGGAUGGAAUGAAAGGUAAAUCUUGUAUUGAUAUUAUCAUUUUAUUAUGACAAAAAAGGUACGUGAAUUUCAUGAUGCAUCCGUGAUUUUUAUUGGAUAUUUGCUGAUAUAUAUAUGAUCGAAGUGAGCUAUAUUGUAUAUCUUUAAUAUUCGACUUGCUUUAUAAAAGCUGAUCUUUAGAAAUUAUGCAAGACAUAUUUGUUAUCAUUCUCUACGUGAAUCCAUUAUUAUCACUUUUUGAUUAUGACAAAAAGGGGGAGAAGAUAUGAAUAUGCAUAUGUGUUGAUUGAUUGAUAUUAUAUAUGGCAUAAUAUUGAGCUGUGAUUAUUUUUCUAUAUAUUGUUAUGCCAAAUCUAUUUGCUAUCUUCUGAUAUCCUUUGAUUUAAAUUAAUAUCUUUAAAAGUAUGUUUACAAAUCUGCUUAUUCAGAGAUUGUUUUGUCAUCAUCAAAAAGGGGGAGAUUGUUAGGGAAAUCCCUUAUGAUGUUUUGAAGAUGACAAAAUAAAUCAAAUGCUACUAACAUGUUUAAUGGUUAAGUAAUAGACCAUGCAAAUGAUAGAACAUGUAAAUGAUAUUGUCAAAGUCUGAAGACCGCCAGACUUUAGUGUCAAAGUCUGUUCUAUAUCAGAAGUUUGUCAACUCUGACUAAUUACAGACUGAACAUGAAUGAUGAACCAAAAGACAGACUCUAUGCUGAAGCUGAACUAGAAGACGGACUCUAUGCUGAAGCUGAACUGGGUACACACCUUAAAGCUAAAAUCUGUUCAGAAGCAAAAUAUGUUCAAACUCAGAUUACAAAGUCUAUCGCACUCAGACUCAGAUUAUAAAGUCUAUUGCUAUCAAACUUUAUAUCCAGAUUCGACAUAACAUAAUUCAAGCCCAAUCAUAUAACGGCUAGUGAUCUGGUUUGGAUUCCACAUCAAUAUUGAUUUGAUUGAUUCAAUCUAAUUGAUUGACGAUUGGAUCUUGAAGACAAGAACUUUUUAUACGAAGAAGCUUUACUUAUGGAAACCAAGAUUCCGUUUGUAUGGGCGAUCGGAAUCAAUUUGGGAUUUUACCUUUGUCACUCAACGGCUACAAAAUCUUCUAAAUACAAAGCUGUCCAAUGGGUAUAUUGGAAGACGAUUCUCCGGGAUGCUGUCCAACAGCUAGUUUGGAAGUGGAUGAGUAUUUAAGAAGAUGAAGGACCGAUGAGCAAGUAAGAGAUAGAGCGUAGAAUUUAUAAUUCUAAAGUCUGAGCGACCUUCGCUCAUACACUUGUCUUUGGAGAGCUUAAAUGUUUGUAAUCGUGAGAGAAAUACCAAAAGAGUGACUUAGUGAGAUAGUGUGAUCUACUAAGUGUUUGCACUUAAAGUUGUAAUCUCUUGUUGAUUGCAUAGUGGAAUUCAGCCAAGAAGGUUGUUAGCAUGGGAGAGUGGACGUAGGCUUGGAUUAAGCCGAACCACUAUAAUUUCCGUGUUCUCAUUCUCUUCCCUAACUCCUUUGUUUGAAGUUUAUUUUAUUCUGCAUAUACUUGCCAAGAUUUAUUUUAUACACCUAUUCACCCCCCUCUAGGUGUUCAUACUAGCACUCUCAUGCACAACAUGAGUUAGAUGACUUACCUUGGCCUUAGAUUCCACCUGCAUAUUAGCACAUAUUAAAUAGGCACCCAAGCAAUCACAAAAGAUCGAAAUAUCAAUCAAAUCGAUUUAGUCGAUUACAUGUCAAUCGGACCAUUCAUUGGUCAUUUCAAUCAAUAUUAUAUUUUCUGCACGAUGGAAUAUCUAGUCGUCAAGCCCACGUGCUUUCUCCAGGAUGACAUACCAAGUCUUCGAGCCUACGUGCCUUUUCUAAGAUGACCUACCUACUCAUUGAACCCAAGUACAAUUUCCAAUGUGGAAUAUCUAGUUACCGAGCCUACAUGCAUUCUUCAAGAUGACAUAUGUACUCAUCGAGCCCACGUGCAUUCUCCAAGGUGAUACAUCAGGUCACUGAGCCCACGUGUCUCUUUAAGAUGCCAUACUGAAUCAGUGAGCUCACGUGCAUUCUCUAAGGCGAUGCAUCAAGUCACUGAGCCCAUGUGUCUCUUCAAGAUGCAAAAUGUACUCAUUGAGACCACGUGCAUUCUCCGAAGUAAUGCAUCAAAUUACCGAGCCCACGUGUCCUUUUAGAUGCCAAAUGUACUUAUUAAGACCACGUCCAUUCUCCGAAGUAAUGCAUCAAAUUACCGAGCCCACGUAUCUUUUUAGAUGCUAAUACUUAAUCACUGAGCCAACUUACCCUUCUCCAGGUGAUUUACUUUCUACCAUGAUUCCACUAUGAAACAAUGCCUUUCUUUAUAGUUCACAAGUCUACUAUUGAUACUAACAACCGAUACCCAAUUAUUUCUCAAUCAAAUAAUCUAAAAUCAACUCAAUAGGAAUAUAUCAUAGAAAUUCACAAUUUAAUCAGUUCCAUACAAAUCAAAACUUAAUUAAAUAAACGGAUUGCACCACAACAAUCAACAAAAUAUUCCGAUCACCGGCCAUCCCGGUUGAAUUUCCGGAAAAUAAUUAAUUAAAUAAUUAAUUUCAAAAAUUAAAUAAAUAAAUACAAUAAUUCCAAUUUAGCACAACAUAAAGCUCAAUUAAAUAAACAGAUUGCACCACGAUCAUCAACAUAAAAUCCCGGUCAUUGGCCAUCCUAGUUGAAUUUCCGGAAAAGAAAUAAUUAAAUAAUUAAUUUCGAAAAUUAAUAUUUACUUCCUAAAAAUUCCAUUUAUGCCCGAAUUGCCUAAUUAACACUUGAUAAGGGUCGGGAAAAAUCCCAAGAAGUAUCCAAUAAAUACUAUAGGCAAUUCUCUAUCUAAGUACACUAACCACCUAACUAAUAUGCAAUGCAAUUAACUAAUAAUCGCUAAUCCAUUCUAAUUUAACCACCUAAUUACACUUAACUAGCAUUAAUCAACAUUUAAGUAUAAUUAGAAAACUAAGAAGGCAUUGUUGGAGAAAUCCUCGUGAAGAGUUUUGAAGUUGACAAAACGUUUCCAUCAGUCUAGUCUGAAGGUCUGCAGACUCUGUUAGUUAAAGUCUGAAGACUUCCGGACAGCCAGACUCAAGACUCAAAGUCUAUUCUCAUUGACAGUCUCUGAUCCGUUGAAGAAAGGUUAUCCCGAACUGGAUGUUUUGUUCAGGAUUUAACCUUAUCAUCUGGAGAAGAUCUCGUGGCUGGAGAAGACGUAUCAGAAUCCUUUGAUUGAUCAAGUUUGAUUCAAUGACUGAAGAUUCGAUGAUUGUCUAAAUAUUAUUGGAAGGUUCUACUUAUGGAAACCGAGAUCCUGAUUGUAUGGGCGAACAGGAUUGAUGGGCUAUCAACACGUUCCUUUAAUAGCUCGAACGAUCUUCCUAAUUGAUUCCGUCCAACGGGUAGAUUGGAGGAAUUCCUUUGGUAAGUGCCAACGGGUAUGAUGGCAUAAAGGAGUAUAUAAGGAAGACGUCCUUAGUUGUUCAAGGAGUGCGCGAUAGAAGAAUUCCAAAGUCUGAAGCUCCUAAUUGUUUAGAUAAAUCAUUUGAGCGAAUACUUGUAUACAAAAGAGAGUCUAUAUUUGUGAGAGACCUUGAGGAGGUGUGGUAGUACAUCUACGCUGUGGAAUCAAGGCAAAGCUGUGCUGUAACUACUCUUUUGAUCAUAGUGAAAUCCAGCCGGUGGGCUGUCAGUGUGGAAGAGUGGACGUAGGCUUGGAAAAGCUGAACCACUAUAAAUCCUGUGUUCCAAUUUCUCUCUUUCUACCUUGAUCGUAUUUCAAUUUGUUAAGAAUUGCUUCCGUAUAUCGAUAAAUUGUUUGUGCGCCUAUUCACCCCCCCUCUAGGUGUUUAUACUAGCAAUAUCAGGCAUUAGUGAGCAAAACUCACUUGGCAAAGUGAAGACCAGAACACCGCGAUAAUGAUGCAACGGCGGCCGAACUUGGGCUCGCGACGACACCCGCGGGCUUGGACUUGGCUAUGGACUAGGCCUACUUCACGGGCCCAAGAUGGGCUGAACUACUAAAUUUGCUGGGCUUCAAAGCUGGGUUGAACUUCAAAUGGGUUGAAGACUGCUGGAUUGGGCCUAAAACUAAAAUUAAUGGGCUGAAGCUACGGGCUGCAAAUGGCCUAACUGCUGGGCCGAAUUGAUGCAAGCUUCAGGUGGGCUGAAUUGCUAAAUCUUUAGACCAAGGUUGCUGAACUUCAUGGGUUGGCUUGCAUGAAGUUUUUGGGCCGGGCGAAGGAGCAGCAAAGGCCGUCGUUGGGCCUCGACAAUUGAAGACUGAUUGGAGUCUUUGGGUAGCUGGACGUUGGCCGUGUGGAGCUGAGGGCUGUCAAUUGUGGUGGUCUCCGAUGCUGAUUUGUUGACCGUGAAGUGGCUGUAGUCUCGGUGGAUGAAGGCACGUGCGGCAGAUGAUGGCAAAAGCGACCUCUCGAUGGAUUUGCUGGGUCAACAAACCACCUAAGAAGAUGCAAGGUUGAUUGAAGCUUCGAUGGACCUCGACACCGUGGCAGCUUGGAGUGAAGACCGAAGGAAGUGGAUGGCUGCUAGCGGUGGAAUGGGCUGCACAAAGUGGAAGCAAGCUGGCAGAGAAGUCGGUGAAGCUGAGGUAAACGUGGACUGCUCGAAGAGGGUGAUUUCGACAGAGAUGUACGCUGAUGGAGCACGCGACAGGUGGCCGAAGUUGCUAGAUGUGGCCGCUUGGUGAUGAGGCUACUUCGAUUGAUGCAGUGGCAGCAGACGUUGGCAAACCGAAGCAGAGAAGGAGAGGAUUCAGUGGUCAAAAAUGCAACUUCGGUGGAUUUCAUGGCUAGUUUGUUGACCAUGAGCUUGCGGCGUCAAAAGGAAUUGUGGUUGAAGCACGCUCGGUUCGUGAGCUGCGGUCUCACAGGUUGAAGAAGAGAGUAACUGGAGAAAUUGGUGGGCGUGGGGGUGAAAGUUUGAGGGGGAUGAGUCUACACGUGAAGAAGAAAGUGGGAUGGCUCGAGGGAAGGCAAAUGAAAAGAUCGACAGAAGCAGGUGGAGAAAAAGCAUGCGUCCGAGAGAGGAAAGAGAGGAGAGGGGGAGCAAAAAGUCAAGCCCUUAUCCUCAUAAUCAUCAAGCCUUAGCCAUCCCAUUUAUUGCUUGUUCCCCAUUUCUUUCCAACCUUAAUAUUCACAAAUAAACCAAAUUGAAGCUCAAAAUUGCUGCCUUUGCCUUAAUCCGAAUUUCACCAAUAUUAACUUCAAUUCCUCACUCAAAUCACCAAAUCGAGGUCCAAUUUCGAUGAAAGAAAAUACGGAAAAAUUUUCUGCAAGUCCCUAACACUUAAAGACUUGGCUCGGAAGUCCCAAUUUCCUUUAAUUGAGCUUGUCCAAAUUUCCGCUAAUUUUCCGCAGCAUCCGAUUCGAUUUUCCAUAAAAAUUUCGAAAUCUCUGAAAAAUCUUCUGAGACUGAGUUGUCGUUCUUAAAUUUUAUUGUGAUAAGACAGAAUCUUCAAUUUAUGAAAUUAGACUCAAAUUGGCAGUUAAUUUUACUCGGGCACGUUUUUAGUGUGACUUAGGCUACCAGGUAGUUUUCAGAACUUUUUAGGACAAAUGACCCGUAGUCAAUUUUCUUCGAGCCACGAUGAACCCACUCGACACAUUGGCGACUCUCGAUUGUCGUGAAAAUCUAGAGGAUUCAAAUACGGACACAGAGUACCAAAACGACAAUAAAAUCAAAUUAGUGCCGAUCGAUGAGAAUUUUCCAAUUUAGUGGAGUCACCCACGAUCGAUCAUUCAUUUUGGUCGAACCGACAUAUCUCUGAUCUUAAUACGAUUUUUAACUGUGCCGUAAUGAUCUCUAAAGAUGAGCACGGCCAAGAAGUCAAUUCCUAGUCGAAUUCCCAAGUCUAUCUGCCUUAAAGCUCUUAAUUGCUUACCUAAUUAGUCUAGUUAUCUCGUGAGUGGCCAACUCAGAGAAAAACACUGUAAUCGUGUCGAUGAAAUGCCCAAUUCAUCUAAUCGAAAUCAUAACCCGAAAAUCUGGAUGUCCCAUGGCAACAUACUUAGCAACGUCCGUCUUCAUGCCAUACCACUAGUAGUUUUAUCAAAGGUUAUGGUACAUCUUCAUAUUACUAGGGUGGAUACUGUAAUUACUUCAGUGCGCUUCCGCCAUAAUUUCUUCCUUGAGCUUAUCAUGAUUGGGUAUGCACCAAUGCUCAUGGAAUUUCACGGUUUCGUCUCUUGCAAUGCAAAAAUCACUUCCUUUCUUGUCCAUGGCUUGUUUCCGAAGCCUUUGAAUCUCCAGAUCAAUUUGCUGUAAUUUUAUUUUAUCUUAUGUAUUAUUUCUGGCUCAAUUCUAAGUGUAGCCAGCAAACCCGCAAGUCGUCUUAUCUCGAACUUCAAGUCAGAAUCUCGAACUUCUUCUAGGAGACUCCAUUCUUGAGCCAUUAUUUCUACAAGAGAGGACUUACGGCUAAGGGCGUCGGCAACUUGAUUUGCUUUGCCAGGAUGUUAUAAUAAUUCACAAUCAUAAUCCUUCAAAAGUUCCAUCCAUCGCCUUUGCCGCAUAUUCAACUCCUUUUGGGAGAAUAAAUACUUCAAGCUUUGAUGGUUGGUGUAUAUCACGAACUUUUCUCUGGAAAGAUAGUGUUGCCAAAUCUUCAAAGUGAAAAUAAUUGCAACUAGUCAUGAGUUGGGUAAUUCAACUUGUAGGGCUUUAAUUGCCUAGACACAUAUGCCACAACUUUACCAUACUGCAUUAACAUGCAAUUAAGUCCUUUAUGCGAGGCAUCACCAUAUAUUUCAAAACCUCUUGAUCCAAACGGAAAUGCGAGUACAAGAGCCGUUGUAAGUCUCCGUUUUAAUUCUUAAAAACUCCAUUCACAUUUAUCCGUCUACUCGAACUUCACAUCCUUCCUUAAUAAUUGAGUGAGGGAAGCAGCAAUACUAGAGAAUUGUUCCACGAAUCUCCGGUAGUACCUAGCCAAACCAAGAAAAAUCCGAACUUCGGCAACUGUAGUUGGUCUUGGCCAAUUUAUUACUAUUUCCACCUUAGUAGGAUCUACUGAUAUCCCUUCACUAGUCACCACAUGGGCCGGAAAUACCAUGCAAUUUAACCAGAACUUGCACUUAUUGAAUAUUGCAUAUAGUGCGUGUCCUCGAAGCAUUUGCAACACCAUUCUCAAGUGUUGCUCAUGUUAUGCCAUAUUCUUUGAAUAAACCAGAAUGUCAUCAAUAAAUACUAUGACAAAGUGAUCCAAAUACGGCUAGAAUGCUCGGUUCAUGAGAUCCAUGAAAGCUACUGGGACAUUUGUCAAAUUGAACGACAUAAUGGUAAAUUCAUAAUGCCCAUACCAAGUUCUGAAGGUUGUCUUCGGAAUAUCUUCUUUCUUGAUUCUCAACUGGUGAUAUCCCGAACGUAAAUCAAUCUUGGAAAAUACUGCCGCUCCUUGAAGUUGAUCAAAUAAAUCAUCGAUCUGUGGUAGCGGAUACUUGUUUUUUACGGUAACUCGAUUCAACUGUCGGUAGUUGAUACAAAGAUGUAACGACCCAUCUUUCUUUUUUACGAACAGGACUAGUGCACCCCAAGGUGAGGCACUAGGGCAUAUAAAACCCUUAUCAAGUAAUUCUUAUAAUUGCACCUUUAACUCCUUAAGCUCCGCCAAAGACAUUCAGUACGACGCUUUAGAAAUAGGUUCCGUUCCUGGAACCAGCUAAAUAGUGAACUCUAUCUCUCUUUCAGGCAAUAAUCCAGGUAGCUCCUUAGGGAAUACAUUAGGAAACUCUCGUACCACUGGGAUAUCGUCCAACUUUGAUUCUUCAACUAACUUAAUUUUUACGGUUGCUAAGUAACCUUGGCAACCUUUCUUAAGGAGUCGGACAACUUUUGUUACAAAAAUCAUAGGCGUUGAGGGUCCUCCUCCAUUUCCGAUGAAUUGAUAGUUGAUUUCGAUAGGUGGACUAAAUUGGAUUAUCUUGCUAUAGCAGUCCAUUUUGGCUCGUUGUUUAUGAAGCCAAUCCAUUCCGAUGAUAGCAUCGAAAUCACAAAUAUCUAAUACGGCUAAAUCUAUUCUUCCUUCUUGUCCACUUAUGACAAUCCUACACUCCUUGCAUCCCAUAGUGGACAACAUUUCAUGUUUCAUCGGGGUGGAUAUACUAAGAAUCAUCAUUAGGGGUUUAGGCAUCAAUCCUACUAUACGCACGAACCUCUCCGAUACGAAAGAAUGCGUUGCACCUGUAUUGAACAAGGCAUAAGCUAAAUGAUCGUGUAAAGAGACCGUACCUAUGAUAAUGGUCUUGGAGUUCUCCGCUUCUUCCUACAUCAUGGCAUAUACUCGUCCUUGAACUAAAGGACGAUUAUCUUGAGUAGAAACUGUUGCGAUUAAGCGAGCGAUCGAACAAUAAUAUAAACAGAAGAAGAAAAAUAAAUUGGACACCAGAUUUACGUGGUUUAGUCGUAAAGACCUACGUCCAUGAGGAGAGUAGCAACGAAUUUUACUAUAGAUCAAACGAUACAAUGAGAUUACACACUCGAGUCACUCAAACACUCUCUCGGUGUUUCUCAAACCCCAAUUUAACCCCAAACCUAAAGUGUUUAUAAAUAAACAACUCACUUGGAGAUAAACUCACGGCACAAAAUUAUCGCACGACAAAACUCUACGUACGACGAGGCUUCGAGAUCUUGCAACUCUUCUUCAAGCGGCGUGGACGUGCGUGGCUUCGUUAUGCAGACCUUCGACGGCGUGUACCAGGCUAAAAGAAGAAAACCUGCGUAAUAUUUGCUUUUAUAUAUGUGUGCCCAAGGUCAAACUUUUGACCUUGGGCCCCACCUCCUCCUUAGAGCUUCACGUGCAGGAUUCGCAGACUCCUUUCUCUCGGUUCUUCGCGUGGAGAAGCUUCAUGCGGCUUUCCUUUUCUAUUCUGUAAAGGAUUCCACAGCAAAGAGGAAACUUUCCUCACCUUUUAUUUUAUUUUAUAUUUCUUCUUUUCUAGCGAAUCGCUUUUUGUAAAUACUCAAACUCGAGACAUAAUUAACAAUCUCCACAUUGGCUCGACGUUUGAGCCAAAUUACAAUCGCUUCGUAAAAAUUCAAAUUCUGCUGCUACUUUCCCAUAGCCCCCGAUGGGCUCAACCGCCACAUAUAUUAUCAAAGUCCAAGCCUUGCUUGAACUUCGCCAUAACCGAGGACCUCAUCAGAAUACCAACUCCAUAUGCACCUUUAACUGCUCCGCAAGGAUUUUCUGACGCAAUCUCCUCAACCACAGAUAAAGCAAAACCAUUGUCGCAUCCAUAUCUAUUAGGAGAUCGAAUAUGUACCUUGUCAAUAUCAGCAGUUAUAGCAACCAUUGGCUCUAUAGGCUCCACCUCGCUACAAGCAUCAUCUGUGUCAAUUACUUUGCUAGUACCCAUAUACGUUACCUUGGGAGUUUCUGGUCGCAACUCCACCUCAAGCCGAACACCGUCUAGAUCCGUAUUAACACUGCCAAAAAAACUCUUAGCUAGAAGUACUUGAGACUCAUCAAGAGUAACUUCUCUGCUAUUAACAGGUGAAUUUAUAUCUGAACACCACAACUGAUCACCUUGCUCACCUGGUGUAUAGCCAUGGAAUAUGCACAUUGCCGUCUCAUCGAGCUUACCGUCACUCACUCGAAAAUAACACGGGCAACCAAACAUUCUAAUAAUAGUAUAACCAGCAACGUUACUUGACCACACUUCUUCAGGAAUCUGCCAUUCAAUAGCAGUUGAUGGGGAUCUAUUCACUAGGUAGCUUCUCGUACUUAGCACAUCAACUAGAAAUCUCCUAGCCAUACCAGCACUAAAGAUAAUUUUUCGAGUCAUCUCUAGUAAUGUUUUGCUCAUCAAUUCUGCAAAUUGUUGUGAUUUACUGGCACUAGUGUAGCGUUUCACUAUGCCAUCUUUCAUGCAGAAUUUAUUUGCCAGCUCCGAGCAAAACUCCAUGCUAUUGUCAGUCUGCACGUGCUUGAUCGACUUACCAGUCUCCCUCUCGAUCAAAGCUCUUGACUGCGUGAUCCCGACACUAGCAUCAAACUUGUGCCUUGGCACAAACACCAAGGUCUUCCCCAAGCAAUCAAAAGACUCUCAAACAGAUGCAUUCGACGUUUCCGGCGUGAAAUUUGUCAUUGUCUUAUCUUGAAUUUUAUACAUGCCUUCGUGCUUCAUUCCUUUCAUUAUUACCAAGGCACCUCGAACAACCUUCAGAAUUCCACCUUUUGAAGAAUACCUGCAACCAGCUGAAUCUAUGGCACCUAAGGAAAUUAAGUUCUUUUUCAAUUCUGGAACGUGUCUUACUCCAGUCAAUGUCCUCACAAUGCCAUUAUGCAUUCUGAUUUUAACAUCACCAACACCCACAACAUCGCAUUUAGCGUUGUUCCCUAACUGGACUUUACCACUACCCGUGCACUGAUAAGUGAUAAACCAGUUUCUAUUUGGUGUGACAUGAAAAGAACAACCAGAAUCCAUAAUCCAUCCAUCAAACGAUGAAUAAUCAGUGAUAAAAAAGACAUAAUCAACAUUAUCUGCUACAGCUGCAACAUUAUCUGCAGAAUUAACUAUAAUUCCAUUACCUUUCUCAUUCUUAACUUAAGGCAAUCCCUUCUAAGAUGCCCCCUCUUGCCACAGCUCCAACAGACAACAUUAACAGUCCUAGAUUGAUUACGUCUGUUCAUAUUAGUACUACCAUUACCUACACGUGUUUUAGAUAUUCCUCUAUUUUCAUCUACUAAAGCAGCAUAUACAGGUUCGCCAAAUUCUCUUCUAUGAAUGUCAUCGCUCAGAAUCAAAUCUCGAACCCCAUCAAACGUCAAACUUGUUGAUCCAGAGGAAUUACUAACAGCGAUAACGGUAGUAUUCCAAUUAUCAGGCAAUGAGAAUAACAGAAUCAAAGCACGUACCUCAUUUUCAAAACCAAUCUCAACUGAACUCAAUUGACUAACAAUCACAUUGAAUUCAUUGAUAUGAUUUGCAACCGACGCACCUUCUCUCAUCUUCAAAUUAAACAGACGUCGCAUCAAACAGACCUUGUUGAUUGCAGAUGGCUUCUCGUACAUAUUCGACAGGGCUUGCAUCAAAUCAGCAGUGGUCUUCUCCUUCAGGAUGUUAAACGAGAUGUUAUGAGCUAACGUCAGCCGAAUAACACCCAUAGCUCGUCUAUCCAGAAAAUCCCAAUCAGCUUGCUUCAUCGUCUCUAGUUUCUCCCCAGAUAAAGGUAAGUGCAUAUUCAUCUAGUAAAGAUAAUCUUCAAUCUGCAUCUUCUAGAAACUAAAAUCCUUCCCAUCAAAUCUGUUGAUUCUUACUUUUACUUCUUCUGUCGCCAUCAAUUCGCUUCAACUCAGCCAAGCCUGGCUCUGAUACCACUUGUUGCGAUUAAGCGAGCGAUCGAACAAUAAUAUAGACAGAAGAAGGAAAAUAAAUCGGACACUAGAUUUACGUGGUUCAGUCGUAAAGACCUACGUCUAUGGAGAGAGCAGCAGUGAAUUUUACUAUAAAUCAAGCGAUACAAGAAGAUUACACACUCGAGUCACUCAAACACUCUCUCAGUAUUUCCCAAACCCCAAUUUAACCUCAAACCCAAAGUGUAUAAAUAAACAACUCAUUUGGAGAUAAACUCACGGCACAAAAUUAUCGCACGAUAAAACUCUACGUACGGCGAGGCUUCAAGAUCUUACAACUCUUCUUCAAGUGGCGUGGACAUGCGCGGCUUCGUUAUGUAGACCUUCGACGGCGUGUACCAGGCUAAAAGAAGAAAACUUGCAUAAUAUUUGCUUUUAUAUGUGUGUGCCCAAGGUCAAACUUUUGACCUUGGGCCCCACCUCUUCCUUAGAGCUUCACGUGCAGGAUUCACGGACUCCUUUCUCUCAGUUCUUCGCGUGGAGAAGCUUCACGCGGCUUUCCUUUUCUGUUUCGUAAAGGAUUCCACAGCAAAGAGGAAACUUUCCUCACCUUUUAUUUUAUUUUAUAUUUCUUCUUUUCUAGCGAAUCGCUUCUUGUAAAUAUUCAAACUCGAGACAUAAUUAAUAGAAACCCCACUGGAUGUCAUUGGUUGUUGUUGUGAUGGCAGUAUAGUUUGUCGCCUUUGAGGGCAAUCCCUCAACAUAUGGCCAGGUUGUCCACAGCCAUAACAUACUCCUUUUCCAGCUAAACAAGGGGCAUUAUGUGGCAUCCGGAAAUUUUGACGACCCUCGAAUAUGCCAUGAUCCAUGACUAGGUGAUGGAAGCAUCAUCAGACUAAGUCAUUAGUAUCAUGUAUGGACAUUGUUUCGUUAUCACCAUUGGACCGAUGGGUCACGUUUAGUAUGGUCCGAUCAUCGAAUAAAUCAUAGCCUUGUCGGAAUCCCUUUACUUAAGAUUAUUGGUGAGACCAAUCUCAUAAGUAAUUCUGCCGACUUCAGAAAAGGACGACACAUAGUGGAUUGAUGAAUUUAUUAUCGAACUUCGUCUGUUGACACCGAUGUUAGACCCCCGCCGAUUUAUGUACAUAUUUCUCUUGAUGACACGACCCAAAUAGAUCACCUAAGUGUACGUGGAAUAAGAGAAGAAUUUGGAUUUUGAUCAAUUUAUUUUAGAGAGCCGAAAAAAGUGGAAUUCGACUGAGGAACAUGCAUGCCUGCGCGGAGAGGAGGACUUGUCCAUGUCCAAUGCCGCCCCAAUCUCUCUCCAUUCGGUCGACACAUGAGUCAACCAAGGAAGGGAAUGGUUGACCGAAGCAUGCCCAGCAACGGCCAUGUUGCCUCCCAUUCGGUGGCCAGCGCACAGAGGAGGAGGAACCGAGCGGAAGCCACGCCCUCUCCACCUGUCUUCAGCCUUGGUUGCCACCGAAGGAACUCCAUGCAAUUGACUCUCAAAGUCAGCAAAGAAGUGAGGAGGAGAGAGAAGAACCGAAUGAGAAUUUUGAGUGAGUGAGAGAGAGAGAGAGAGUGAGCGAAACUUGAGCAGAGUGAGCGAAACUUGAGCAGAGAGAGAGAGUUCGAGCAAGAGAGGCAGGCACACAAGUGUGAGCCGUGAGGAAGGAAGUGCUCGAGUUGCCGCUGUCGACGCCACUUGUCUUCUCCGCCGUCGAGCCGCAUCGCCGAACCGAGCCCCUAUUUUGCUUGAAAUUGAACUAAAGAGCUUGAGGCAAGUGAAAGUCCAUUAACCUAUAUCAUAUGGUGCUGUUGUUGUCUAGUGGAGUGCAAUAGACUUGGAGAUGUUUGGGUUGUGCAUGUUGGAUGCUGGAUUUUGAAUGAGUAGAAGUAGUUCUCUUAUAAUUAGUAAACUGUUUCAUAUAAAACGCAUGACCUUUGAUGAUUCCGUGAAUUUUCUGUAAUUAGCUAGUUAGAAUUGGACUUCAAACCCUUAAUGAAAGCUGUAGGAAACAUUCUUAGGAAUAACAUAUCAAAAUUUGAGAAUGAAUGGACAAGGUUUGGUCAGUAAAACCUUAGUUGCUUUGAUUCACAGUAUUCGUUACUAGGUUAUUGGUCUAAAAGAAAAAUAAAGGGGAAAACACGGCGGGUAGGCUUCCUAUCCUGAUCCGUGGUCACCCUCGCCAUGCAGGAAUCUCUCCUUUCAAUGGGGGGAUUUGUGAUCGACAUCGGAGUUCCCUUUGGAUUAAUCCACAUUCCAAAGAAAAUCAAGACUGGCCUUCCUUCCUUCCUUUCCCAUUUCUCCGAUCCACGUCUAACAGCCGUACCAUUUCUUUCCUAACGAUUAAUUUUUAAGCAUACAGGGUUCCUUCCAUGCAUUGAUAAUGGCGGAGAUCGAAGAAUUAAUGCACAAAAUCAGUUUGUGGACGAUGUGGAUUCCUCCUUUUCAGCAAUCAGAUAUGACCUGUUCAUCUAAACACUUGCUAUAUGUCAAAGUUAUUUGCAGACUAAUCUUAUAGUCUGUAGCCCUGACGACAUGAGUGGUUCUUGAAAUGUGAAAAAGUUAUAAGUAGGGAAUCCAAUUCACUUUCCAUCCCUGACCACUUUCCGAGAACUGCAGCCAGCUUUGCAAAAAGUGGAGAAAUUAAAAGUUGAACGGCGACAAAAAUUGUGUGAUCAAAUCUACCAUUCACUUCAGCCUUUACCAACAUAUGUACUAAGGACUAUCCGGGUUUCCCUUCCAUAUUCUCCACCAGGAUUGUUCAAUUCUCUCUCUCGUGUGUGUAUAUGUGUGUGUUAGAUUAUAUUUUCUUUUCCUUGAAAGUACCCUACACAAUGUCAUAGUCGAGCUAUAAUUUUUUCACGACUUAGUCAUGUUUUCCUUCAUCUCGGAUUGGAGGGAGUGUUUUGAUUAAAGGGUUACAAGUAUAAACAUCACCUGCUUUUAUAUUUAGAUAUAUUUGAGUGUCCAUUUCGUAUAGCCUCCGAUCGGAUGUAUGGUUUGCAGAAAGCAUUGAGGGUAUAGGUCACAAUAUUCUAUACCUCUCAAUUCCCAUUUUUUUACCAUGUGUAACAUAAGGUUCUGAUCUCCCGCCAGACGCCUUUCAUGUGGUUCGCUGGUUCGCUGGUGAAUGAAGUCAUGAAAGAUAUCCUACAAUCGCUUCCCUUCAAGGGUUCAUUUUUCUAAUAGCAAUAAUUUUGGAACCUCCGAUUGAAGUUUCUUAUGCAACUGCAUAAUUAAACACGUCGGCCUUUCUUCCAUAGAUAAAUCCUUCGCUCUAUCGCCACUUCACUAAGCGUGAAACUCGUGCAUGAUAAACCGACAAAAACUUCACCAGAAACGCGUCAAAACACUAGCAAAACUCACAGGAAAUAAAAAAGACAAGACAAGGAAAAGCCCGGCACCCAUUUGACGGCAAGCAAGCAGCACGAUGUGAAAACCAAAUGAAACAAGUGCAUGAUGAUUUACCGGCUUAUUUUUCAGACGAUCGCGGACGGAUGUCGUUAACAUACUGCAGAGAGCUUAUAACAAAAAGCAUAUUCUCCCGCAUAUUUCUUGCAAUUGGUUCCACGUGGCCAUCGAUCAUUACGCAUGCUUUUGUCCGUCACCUCAUCAGAUAAAAAAAGUCUAUCCAUAUUGGUACCCACGUGCUGAUCUUCCUUUCCUUUCCCCACCUGCUGAUCCUCCUUUCCCCACCUGCUGAUCCACAUAGAACGGUUCUCUUAUGUUCUAUAUAUAUAAAGCUGCUGGAUUCUCAAGCAUUCAAGACCCUCAAAGCUUUGAUCCAUUUUCUCCAAGAACUCGACAAGUCCAUAUAGAGAAGCAGAUGGCGGUUGCUCACUGGCUGGUUCUUUUUGUUACGGUAAUUGUGGUGAGCAAUAUGCGGGAUGUGAAUGGCGCGUUACUAGCAGCGACCUUGGAAGCGAUAACUAAAGCUAACGUGAACGGCCCUUACAUCGGCAUCGUGAUUCCCAAUCUUUUCGAGAUGGGUCCACUUCUUAAUUCAUCGAACUACAGCGCUGCUGAAAUCAUAGAUUUCUCAGGUAACAGUGCAUUUUGUCUUGAUUUAUAGAGUUUCUAGAAAACAUGGAAAAUGUUUUCUUGGUCGAACUUAAACAUGGACUCUUUGUUUACCAAUAUGAAUGUGUGGAUCGGUCAUGAGAGUGAUUGGCUUUCGGUCUGGUCCGAUUCUAUCUAGGAACUGGGAACUGGACCGAGAGGAUCGAUUUUCAAUUUUGGGAUUAGGAAUUGGAUUGGACGGUCCUAGGACCAAGGUCCGGUCCCAUGGAACCAAUAAUUUAGCAAAAACAAUAAAUAAUUAAAGAAAAUACUAGAGUUGUUACUAUUUUUAGGAUUUAUUGCUAUUUUUAAGAAAUUAAAAAAUAUAUAUUUUUAAAAAAGAGUUAGUCUAGUCUGGUCCGGUCCCCCCUCUCGGAAUCGGGAACCGGAUUGACAAUCACUGGUUCCAUUUUUAUGGAAUCGGGAACCAGACUGAUCCUUUUGGGUACUACAUCAAAUCGGUCGGUUUGGUCCAAUGCAGGCAAUUCUCGGUUUGGGCGGUCCGACAUGCUCACCUCUAAUUGGUUUUUUUUUUUUGGUCAUAGAUAUCAUUAGUUAAUUAAUAACUCUUAAAGACAUAUGGGAAAAAAGUAGACGCUGAAUUUUUUGGGGCAUGUUUGGCCACAAAAUUUCACUGAAAAUGAAGUAACAAGGAAGGAUUGAAGCAAAGAGAUGUAGAUUGACAAUGAAUUGUAAAAUAGUUAGUUUCCCUAAUAACGUUCAGGAAAUAAUCUUUCACUUUAUCCCUGACACUUCUCCAUCCCUUGACGGACUCCAAGGUAGAAGAUUUCGAUUCGGGACAGUCGAAGAGAGGAAAGUCAUACUGGUCAUGACAGGACUGGGUGUGGUAUGUGUCCCGCUACUGUUUUCUUCAAAAUUUGGUGCCUGUCCUGUCAAAUAAUCUUUCGAUUUGGUGCCUGUCCUGUCAAAUUUUCAAAAUAUAUUUCGACAACGGCUUAAUUUGGUUGCGACUAAUGCGCUCGUGCGUCGCGAUAUUGAGGGAAAGUACGUAUGAACUGGUGCAGAUAAACGCAGCCAUCACCACGCAGCUUCUGCUAAGCUUCUUCAAUGUGGAGGGAGUAAUUCAUUACGGAAUUGCUAGGAAUGCUAACCCCGAUUUGCACAUCGGAGACGUCGCUAUUCCCCAGUAUUGGGCACAUACCGGUCUUUGGAAUUGGCAGGUUUUCCACUUAUCAACCCGAUUUUGAGAUUCAUCCACCCAAUUCUUCGAUGUGAAGGGAGUAACUUGACUUUUCUUUUUCUUUGCCUUGAAAUUAUGGGGGAAACUCUACAGUGGUUCUCGAAGUACAGGAGAAAGAAACUGUCGAUGCGAUUCGUUAUUCUUUGUUUUUUCCUCCUAAGUUGCAAGUGGUUCUAUUAGAUUGACAUUUUUAUGGAGAUGUUCACACUUAGGAGAGAGACUGGUUUUUUUUUUUUUUUUCCCUAUUACGUACAUAAGCCUACCAUGCACGCUUUUAUAUUCUAAGAAAAUAAUAGCAAUGGGGCGGCUUUCAUAACAUGCGUGUACUAGGGAAAAUUAUCCAAAAAUAUUUAAAGUUAUUGUGCGGCGAUUAGUUGAGUUCAGAACUUUUUUAUUAUGCAAUUAACACUAAAUCUUUUGACAAUUUUCAAAUGUGGUCCAUUUAGUCAAUUGUAACUGCAAAUUAUUGAUAUAGAUCCCAACCGUCCUAUAUAGUAUUCGGUCAUCCACACUGAUAAAUAUCAAAACAAUGGUCUACGCACAGAGAUAUGGGCAGGGUCCAGAAGAUGAACUCACAUUGGAAUCAAACGGAGACUACACGAGAACGCUUGGGCACUUGAGGUUUGCGAAUUACACUACAAACGUCACGGGUUGUGCUUCACACGACAAUCUCUUGAACAACAUAUGGUAUCAACAGGAGGAAGUGUUUCCCGUCACAGGAACUCCUGAAGAAAGACAACACGAGUUCUGGGUCCCCGUCGGUUCCACCUACUUCGCAGUGGCCAAGAAGCUUGAGGUAUUACUGCUCGAUGCUUUCUAGGAUUUGCUGUCGUAUCUAUAUAUGUUGGAAAAACUUUACUGAAACUGAUUUAGAAGGUGAAUAUAUGGCAAAUCUCAGGAAAAAGUGUGCCGGGACCUCUGGGGCUUUCGGAAGAGUUUUACUCAACCAAAAGAAAGUCAGAUGAGAUCAGUACAUGGAAAGACAUUAUUUACAUGAAGAGUAACUAAAUGACUUUAGCAAAAAUAUCAUUCUUGCUUAUCACUUGAAUAACACCGCUUUAGAUAUUUCGAACCAUUAUUUGAAAAGUAUCACAAUCGUGUAGAGUUUCAUGAGUCAAUACUUCAAUAGAGAGAAAUUUUGGCCACCUUUCCUGUCUAUCCAAAUUAAUCAUAUAUGAUGAAGGGUCUAAUUCACACAUAUUUUUUAUGUAUGUCACUCCUUAGGGCUUGAAAUUGAAACCUUGCGUGACCACGUGCUUAAACUACACGCCGAGUGUAAGCACCGUUGAAAGAGGCAUAAGUGCCAGCAUCUACCUUGACAACAGCGCCUACCGGAGCUUCAUCUACGACAAGUUCAAUGUGAGCCCUGUGGACAUGGAGAGCGCAUCGGUCGCCCUAAUCUGUUACCAGCAGAAUACGCCUUUCAUCGCCAUCAGGGCGCUCUCUGACUUGGCCGGCGGUGGGUCUGCCGAGUCGAACGAGGCCGACACUUUCGCUGACCUCGCCUCGGACAAUGCGGUGAUGGUCGUGGUGGAGUUUAUAAAGCAGCUUUCCUCCAGAAACUCUCUCUAAUGGCAAGAUUGGCAGCCUAAUAUAAUGUUCUAUUGUCAAUAAUAAUGCAAUGAUCCAUUGCGUUUGUGUCUAUUGCGUAGCAACAUGAACCCUGAUGGGCCUUGGACCUUGGCAUAGCUGGGGAAGAAACUUCAGCAGUGACCGACUGCCUCAAAAAUUUCCCAUAUCAUUUCCCUUACUUUAAAUCCUCCCAUAGUAAUAAAAGAUCAAAGUCACGAGG
rnacentral:lncRNA from 1 species